GUGCUUCGACAGCGGCACCGUCUGAGAGCGAAGAGGCAAACUCACUGUCCGACAGUCUAUCCACCCUGACCACAGACGACGCCACCUCAAAUGCUCCAGCUGCAGAAAACGGGAACGACGCCACCCCAGAUGCUCCACUUGCAGAAAACGGGAACGACGCCACCCCAGAUGCUCCACCUGCAGAAAACGGGAACGACGCCACCCCAGGUGCUCGACCUGCAGAAAACGGGAACGACGCCACAUGAUCCUGAUGGUUAUAUUUUCGUCCGUAGCGCUGUCCAUCAAUUAGCUUUAUAUACAAGGGUUGGUACCAAAAGUUGCUGCUGCUACCAGAAGUGAAUUUUUCUCCUGCUUUUCAGGUAGCAUAAUAGGUACACACCAUCAUACAGAUAGAUCGUAGCCGCCGUUUGUUCAUUAAGUUAAAUUUUGCUGAAUAGCAAGUACUAUACGGGAGAAAGAGAGAAAUACAGACACAUACAUAUAGUAGGCCGCCGGUUGGUUUGGUUGGCUGGCCAUUUCCUGUACACUCUUUAGUGCACAGCUCCAUUGCUCAACUCGUGCCUUGUCGGUCCGUCCAUGUGCUCCGUAUUUUUUCCUUCCAAUUUGCUGUACUGCUUGGACCAUUAUCAUUUUUGUACCAAACUGUCGUCGCUGCUGUGGAGUGUGGACCAUGCAUGAUGAGCUGUACAUAAAAAUGUUGAUUUCUGGCAUGCCAAGGAAUCGCUGUACUCCCUUCGUUCCUAAAUAUAAGUUUUUUUAGAGAUUCCACUACAACCUACAUACGGAUGUAUAUAGACAUAUUUUAGAUAUAUUUUAAAGUGUAGAUUUACUCAUUUUGCUCCGUAUGUAGUCCAUAGUGAAAUAUCUAAAAAGACUUAUAUUUAGGAAUGGAGGGAGUACACAUUAUGCUAGUAGUAGAAGUAUUGUUGGGGCAUUCUUGUUCCUUUGCGUGCAAUGUGACGUGUCGGAUAGCGAUUUGUAAAUCAGUGAGCGCGAGGUGCAUCGGGAAUUAUUAGUAGUAGCUGUUUGAAAUGGAUCAAUCACGCAUGCCUGGGAAUUAAUUAGCUGUUUCUUCUUCUUGACAGUAAUGGAUUUGCACCGUACUAUUCGUUGAUCUGCAUGAAUGAGACCCAGGACGUGCAUUCCGCAUGAACAAUACGGGUACCACUAAGCUGCUGGAAAAUUACUGGCGUUUCUUUUUUCUUAGAAGAGAAAGACAAGGGCGCUGCGGAACAUGGCACCGAGAUGACGAGUCGCGGGACUGCACUGCGUGUGCGUCUUCCGAUGAGCCUGCGUCGCGCAGGCAGCAGGCUACAUAAAUUCGCGGGCACACACACAGCGGCCGAGGUCACCACCGGGCCGGCCGGAGACAGCAGCAUAACCAUGCAGGGCUGGGCUCCAUGCCAUUUCCUCCCCUCCCCGCCUUGAUACUACGCACUGCUCCCUCCCUUGCUUGCUCCCCGAAGUCAAGUUGUAGUAAAGCCGGGGUGAGGCCACACCGCCACCACCACCACCCUCCGCCCCACCGCUGCACACCGUCGAUGGUUCCAUCCGUGCCCUGCCGUGCGCACGCGCGUCGUCGUCAAGCUGGAACCCGAUGCAUCGUCGUCGAGGUCGCUCCCGGGUGGCACCGGCCAUUGCCCCGGCUUCCUCCUCCGCGUGCCGUGUCCUCCGACGAUGGAGGAUAGUUGCUGCUGAUAGGGCGGUGACGUGGUGGUCGAGGAAUUGAGCCGGCCAGCUUUGCCACCAUUCCUAUCAUCCGCGGCGACAUGGCAUACAUGGGGCACGCCAGGCAUUUCAUCUCCUACCUUCUCUACCUAGCUAGUUACUAUACUAGUUAGUACUCAGUAGGGGUUAUAUUAGCAGUAGUUAGUUUCUUGCUCUUCGUUCUCGUUUUAGCUUUUCUCUGCAACCGACCAUACCACGGUUGCUGUUGCUGUGAAUAACCUUGGCUAUUGAUUUGUAUCUGUUUUCGGGGAAGAGAAAUCAGCCGACGGGUUUCGAUCCUAGUGAUGAACUGGUAGAUGAUGAUUCUUCUUCCUCCUCCUCUGUUUGUCUGUUGUUUGUUUGUUUGCGCGUGAAUGAAUGAAAGAAAUCUUCUCUUCUUCGAGGAGCUUGUAUGUCGUAGCUGUAGCUGUAGCUGUACUUGCAUUGGCACCUCCGGCUGACGCAGGACGGCGGCAGGCACAGUAAGCUAGCUCGGUGGCGAACCGAGUUCUUCUUUUGCUUGCUCUGCCGAAACAGUACGCGGCAUAGUGCUCGUCACUGCAUGCGGCCGGCUACAGUGCGCCUCUUGGUGCACGCGGCCGUGAUGGAAGAACCAGGGAGGGGGGACAUGUUUGCGGACAGGGAGAACCUUUGCUCCGCCUCUGUCCCUCUUCCUUUCGCUCCCACGGAGCAAGGCAUAGUAAGAACAAGGAACGUCGCAUCCCGCGGGCAUAGCGCCAAAAUCAACCAUCGAUUUAUUGUUUGCUGUGUAGUACGGUUUGAUUGAUCAUACAAGCUCGAUAUCCGCGACCUGUCAAGUCUUCAACGGGAGAUGCCGUAUCAUAUGCAAUAAUACUGUCGUUUUGAAUUUUGAUGGCUCGUCUGUUCAGAGUACAGACCGUUCUGUAAUGGUGGUCGAUAACACACGCGUAGUGUGUGUGUCUCUCUCGGAAUCAGUCACACUCGCCGCAUGCAUGCCGGCGAGAUUGUUUUCUGCCGGCCGGUAGGCUGCUAUACUAGCUAUACUGUAAGUGCUUUUUUUUAGAAAAUGAGGAUGACCCCGGCCUCUGCAUCUGAAAGAUGCAUGCACUCAUUUAUUAAUUAUUCACAAAGAACUUACAUAGUACGUAAUACAUCAAUAUGUCUGAAGCCGCCAUCUUGGUAACAUCUAUCGCUACUUUUAUCCAUUGAUGAAGAGGUGUAAAAAGUGUGAGCCAAAUACCCAGACCUCUCAACUAGCCUAACAUCUAAAGCCGGAGGCCCGACCAAGCCACAUACCGGGUCUGGAACACAAACCGGUCUGACGCACUCUCAUAGUUCCGUCUUUCAUCAAUUCAUCUUCAGAACAGGUACUGACACAUCGACCUUGCUCGGCCUGCCGUCGACGCCCCCACCACACCAGACAACGCCUCCUCCCUACGCGCGUUCAUCAUCACGCAUCCGUCACCGAAACUUUGUUGUGUCUCGCCACUGAGACUCCACGACGUCGAUGCGUCACAGGAAACGCCGCUCCACCGCAGAUGCCGUCCACUGUAAGUGCUUAGAUUAGUUUACAUCACUUUGCCUGCGUCCCAACCCACAUAGUACAUCAUGGCCGCCGACCUCCGUUACUUUCAUACAAGUCCUUUGCGCGGCCAGGACUAGCUAGCUAGGAGGACCAUGGUUUGCACUGCAUCUGCAUGCCAUGCCCCAGUCAACAGUGCACGCAGCAUCAUCAGCAGCGGCAGCGGCAGCCUAGACAGGAGGAGGACUCCAGUGUCCAGUCUACGCUACGCGCGCGGCCGGGAAGACGACGAGCCGCUCGGCGCGCGCGGGCACAACCUACGAGCAACCUGGCCCACUUGCAGUUGCAGUCUUGCCAGCCAGGGCCACGCCUUGUCCGGUUCUGCGUGCAUGUGCCCUAAAUCCUGGGUGUCGCCUCGUUUCAUUGUUUCACUAGAUAGAUUGAUAUGGGUGAUAUGAUCUGGUUCACGCGUGUGUGAUCACUGGUGCUUGGCGUUCGAUCGUACUGUUAAGGUUCUACAGGUAGUGCAUUCGCAAAAAAGAAAAAGGUUCUACAGGUAGUAAAUCAUGCUAACCUUGUUUAGAGGUGUGGUGGAAGAGACGGCUUGAGGAACGAGCACCCGCUGCUGACUGUUCCUUCCUGCCUGAGCUGCGCGUGUUGUUUUCUAGGCCGGGUACGUGAUCGGAUGUGGAGUUGUGCCAUGCCUCUCUUGUCUCGGAUCUCGCGGCUUGCAUCGCUGCCGAGAGAAGGGUACAUGGACCACCUAAAACUUGGCAAUGACCCGAGGGGGAUGCGACCACCCAAGCGCCAAGACUGGCUUACUCGUAUUCCUUGUUCUAAUCCUACUCGUGUUCUUAGAGGUGUACUACUAAUAAAACAUUCCAUUUUUUAGGGAUCUAUCGCGGGCAAAAACCGGCCUGACAAUUUGCAGUAAAUUAGACAAACAAAGUUAUUUACAACCUCAAGAAACCGAUCAAAAGGAGAAAUACAAACUGAAAAGUGAAAACUAAUUGUAUAAGUUGCAGAAAACCUAUACAGGGACAAUCCGUCGGAGAACUCUCUGACCAGGAUUGUCGGAAGAUGGAUGUGAUGCCUUUAUUUUAGUUGUUUAUUACUCCCUCCGUCCCAUAAUAUAAAAGCCUUCGAGGGUUGCGUCAUUUUCAUAGAUUUUAGAGGAUGGAGAUUAGUUUACACCGAAGAAAGAAUUGAGGUGUGCUAUCCCAUAGAACGCAGUUUUUUUCUCUUUUCUUCUUCUUUGAAACACAUAGAUCGCGAAAUUCUGCUACCACCGAGUACUUCAGAGUGAAGUAACAUCAAGCAAAAAUUGUUGAACCGGUAAUGCACAAGGACGUACUUUCACUUAACUAAGCCCUAUAUAUGUGGAUGGAGGGAGUAGUCGUCUCCCAAAGAGUGCAUAACGAGCUUGCAUGGAGGACAACUCUUCUAAAGAGCCACGGGUUUGCGAACAACCGCUCACGGUCUGCAAGCCAGAAGAACAUGCGACAAUGAUCCGUCGAGCAAUUUCUUCAAAUCGGCUGCGAAAGGAACAAGACGUCUCCGGGAAUUCGAGGGGGCCGUGAGGAGAUGAAAAUAGGGCCUAUUUUCUUUAUAAUUCAUAUAACAGAGAAAAUAAUAUAGAAAAAAUAUAAUCAAAGCAUACUUUCACUUAGUUAUAUCACUUCAAAUAUGUUAUUCCACAUAAUAUUUAGAAAUAUAUUGAAUUUGUAAUUGUUAGUGAUUAAACAAAAUGCGACUAGUAGACAUGAUGAUGACUGAGGAAUAAAACAAAAUAAACAGUAAGCAAUUAAAUAGAAUAUUAUUAGUUUUAAAUAGUAACUAUCGCAAGAUCAUUCAAACAUAUGGAAAAAAUAUAUUAAAAAAUAGCACACAUAUGACCUUAGGGCAUCUCCAGCGAUGUUCGUCAAACAAACGACAGUCGGCCAUGAGAUGCCCUUAGGGCAUCUCAAACGGCGUUCCUCGCGACACAUACAUCCACCACCUUGAGUAUGUGGCAGCAGAGGAUGUCGUCACGAUUGAAUCUGCAUGCACAUGUAGACCCUAUUUGCAAUGUCAACCCCGACUGCGUAGUUCAUGCCAUUUUCCGGCUCUCGCUUUAUGAGUCCAAGUCCGAGACCGAGACCAAGCUUAAUGUCAGCCCUGACUUUGUACAUUCAUUCGUCCAGCCGUGAGCAGUAGUAUGAUAUACACCCUCUGUAAACUAAUAUAAGAUCUUUUAGAUCACUAAUUAUCUAAAAGAUCUUAUAUUAAUAUACAGAGGGAGUAGCAGAUAGCUUGAGCUCAUGCUUGAAUCUCUGCAGUUUUUAACACGAAUAAUUCUGUAUAGGAGAUAAUGCAACCAUUUUCAUUCUUUUUUGCUACACUAGCAUUAGCUGGCAAAUAAUACACACACAGCCUGGCAACAUUUUUUUGUAGAAUCACCGGAGGAGGAGUCCCUCCACCUGAAUAUAUUACUCAAAGUGGCCAUUAUGCCAGGAGAGUGAUCCAGUUUAUAAGGGAAACCGGAUCGAAAACCUAAACAAGUUGACCCGUUUAUAAGGGAAACUGGGCCGGAAACCGUACAAGAAGGUUACAUGGAGAAGAGAAGAACAAGACACCCAACAAGGGCGGGAGCUAGCUAGCAGACUAAAAGGACCAUCACCACGGAAGACACAAGUAGUUGUGGGGUGUCGUCGAGGGAUCACAAUACUUAGACUUUGCGAGGAACCUAAUGCACCGCAUUGCGUGCAUACCGAGCCCCACGGCACAACUCAGGAGCAUCCACAACCAACGAGUGCAAAAAACACAACCUUGACUGGGUGCCCCGCCAUGAAAGAUCGGAAUGAUUAACAAUUUGGGGAGGCAUCUGGCGCCAUCAAAGAGCAAAGAUGAACCAAGACAUCACCAAGAGCAUGACACUCGCCGCAACACAUCGGCCGCCAAAGGAGAGUCUUGAGCAUGCAUAGCGAGACACCUUCACGAGGGGGAAACAUAUGGCCGCCCUGCAGCGCCAAAGGCACCGCCACCAAACCCCAGAGAACACCACCAAACAACCACCGUCGACUCCAAGCCAGUCGCACCACCACCUGUUGGGGAAGGUAGUAAUUCAAAAAGUUUCCUACGAUCACGCAAGAUCUAUCUAGGAGAAGCAUAGCAACGAGCGGGGAGAGUGUGUCCACGUACCCUCGUAGACCGAAAGCGGAAGCGUUUAGUAACGCGGUUGAUGUAGUCGAACGUCUUCGCGAUCCAACCGAUCUAAGCACCGAACGUACGUCACCUCCACGUUCAGCACACGUUCAGCUCGAUGACGUCCCUCGAGCUCUUGAUCCAGUUGAGGACGAGGGAGAGUUCCGUCAGCACGAUGGCGUGGUGACGGUGAUCAUGAUGUUACCGGCGCAGAGCUUCGCCUAAGCACUAAGACGAUAUGACCGAGGUGUGUAACCGUGGAGGGGGGCACCGCACACGGCUAAAAGAAACUUUGGUGUCCUUUGGGGUGCCCCCCUCCCACGUAUAUAAAGGAGGGGGGAAGAGGAGGUCGGCCCUAGAGGGGGCGCGCCAAUGGGGGAGUCCUACUUGGACUCCCGGUCCAAGUAGGAUUCGGCCCCCCUUCCUAUUCUAACUAGGAGAAGGAGGGAAGGGAGAAGAGGGGAGAAGGAAAGGGGGGCCCGCCCCCCCAACCUUAGUCCAAUUCGGUUUGGGCUUGGGGGGGGGGGGCGCCUCCACCUGGCCGCCGCCUCCUCUCUCCACUAGGGCCAAUGAAGGCCCAUUAACUCCCCGGGGGGUUCCGGUAACCUCCCGGUACUCCAAAAAAUGCCCGAACAUCCCGGAACCAUUCCGAUGUCCAAAUGCAACCUUCCAAUAUAUCAAUCUUUAUGUCUCGACCAUUUCGAGACUCCUCGUCAUGUCCGUGAUCUCAUCCGGGACUCAAAACAAACUUCGGUUCAUCAAAUCACAUAACGCUUAAUACAAAUCGUCACCGAACGUUAAGCGUGCGGACCCUACGGGUUCGAGAACUAUGUACACAUGACCGAGACUCAUCUCCAGUCAAUAACCAAUAGCGGAACCUGGAUGCUCAUAUUGGUUCCUACAUAUUCUACGAAGAUCUUUAUCGGUCAAACCGCAUAACAACAUACGUUGUUCCCUUUGUCAUCGGUAUGUUACUUGCCCGAGAUUCGAUCGUCGGUAUCUCAAUACCUAGUUCAACCUCAUUACUGACAAGUCUCUUUACUCGUUCCGUAAUGCAUCAUCCGCAACUAAAUCAUUAGUCACAUUGCUUGCAAGGCUUAUAGUGAUGAGCAUUACCGAGAGGGCCCAGAGAUACCUCUCCGAUACACGGAGUGAAAAAUCCUAAUCUUGAUAUAUGCCAACCCAACAAACACCUUCGGAGACACCUGUAGAGCAUCUUUAUAAUCACCCAAUUACGUUGUGACAUUUGAUAGCACACAAGGUGUUCCUCUGGUAUUCAGGAGUUGCAUAAUCUCAUAGUCAGAGGAACAUGUAUAAGUCAUGAAGAAAGCAAUAGCAAUAAAACUAAAUGAUCAUUAUGCUAAGCUAACGGAAUGGGUCAAGUCAAUCACAUCAUUCUCUAAUGAUGUGAUCCCGUUAAUCAAAUGACAACUCAUGUCUAUGGUUAGGAAACAUAACCAUCUUCGAUUCAACGAGCUAGUCAAGUAGAGGCAUACUAGUGACACUCUGUUUGUCUAUGUAUUCACACAUGUACUAAGUUUCCGGUUAAUACAAUUCUAGCAUGAAUAAUAAACAUUUAUCAUGAUAUAAGGAAAUAUAAAUAACAACUUUAUUAUUGCCUCUAGGGCAUAUUUCCUUCAGCCUCCCACUUGCACUAGAGUCAAUAAUCUAGAUUACAUAGUAAUGAUUCUAACACCCAUGGAGUCUUGGUGCUGAUCAUGUUUUGCUCGUGAGAGAGGCUUAGUCAACGGAUCUGGAACAUUCAGAUCCGUAUGUAUCUUGCAAAUCUCUAUGUCUCCCUCCUUGACUUGAUCGCGGAUGGAAUUGAAGCGUCUCUUGAUGUGCUUGGUUCUCUUGUGAAAUCUGGAUUCCUUUGCCAAGGCAAUUGCACGAGUAUUGUCACAAAAGAUUUUCAUUGGACCCGAUGCACUAGGUAUGAAACCUAGAUCGGAUAUGAACUCCUUCAUCCAGACUCCUUCAUUUGCUGCUUCCGAAGCAGCUAUGUAUGUCGGACCUCAGGUUCCGGCAAAACCCUUGAGGUUCGAACACUUGGGUGCGCACGAAGAUCUCACCUCCCUCGAGCUCGCUCGCAACUAGAUCUCACGGCCUAGCUCGACGAACCAAAGAACAAAGAGACACAAGGUUUAUACUGGUUCGGGCCACCGUUGUGGUGUAAUACCCUACUCCAGUGUGGUGUGGUGGAUUGCCUCUUGGGUUGAGGAUGAACAAUUACAAGGGAAGAAGAGCCUCACAAGGAGAGGUGUUCUUGUUCUCGGUGAGCUUGGGUGGUGGUUGGUGAGCUGAGUAAUCCCCCCUGCUACGGGGGUGGCUAGUCCUAUUUAUAGAAGCCCCGGUCCUCUUCCCAAAUAUUGAGCGGGAAGGGAUCCCACAACGGCCAAGUUUGAAGGGGGACAACGAGUACAAGCUAUCCUGACUAAAGGUGGUCUUCGCCUGCCAAAGGCUCUGGGGAUGACGCCGUCUUGGGCUCCACGGUGACCUCCGUCUUGCCGUCCUUAUGGUCUUGGUCUCGUUGCACCGAUAUGGAAACCUUUGCCUGAUGCCUCGGGACUCCUCGCCUGCGCUUGCCUCUUUAGCACCAAAGAGGAAAUGAGGACACUGUGCGCGCUGGCGCCCGCCUGGCCUUGGUCGUCAUGGCUUACGUCACGGGAACCUCGCGAGGUUGCCCUUGCCUUGAUCUUUCCGCCCCUCGCGAGCCUAGCCUGGUGAGGCUGCCCCCGAGGAGGUCUUGCGUCAUCCGCCUCGCGAGGGUCUUGAGUGUUUGCUGGUGAAGAUGGGUCGUACAGGGCCACUGGUGGAGCCACACCGUGGGCCGCAGGCAAGCAAGUCUGGGGACCCCCGUUCCCAGAACGCCGACAGUAGCCACCGGGCCCAAGGCACGCUCGGACUUGGCUUCGGGGCGAAGCCAAAGGGCAAGUGCGAAGCGCCGCAGGCCCCAACAGCCUGCGGCCUUGGUCAACGCGUGGCGAUUGAUUGGACGUGGGCGUCUCCGCUUCCCCAUGCUGCCUCAGCAACUGCCCGACUUGACGAGUCCCUGCUGCAUGCAAGGAAAAAACCAUCAUUACCUGUCAUCGUGGGGGUCGCCGGUUGGCCUUCUCCUGCUAUAAAUGGGGAGGGGCGGAGCCCCCGUCGCCCAUCUCUUCCUGCUCUGCUCGUUCCUUCCCCCUUGCUCCAUUGCUAGCAGUGUCACCCAUGGCGCCCACGAAGAGGUUCUCGGCCGCGGAGAAGGGGAAGGCCCGCCAGGAGGGGCCCGGCUCACCGCCGCCCAAGAGGGGGCGCGGUCGCCCCCGCAAGCACACCGCGACCCCUGCUGUGGCCGCCCGCAGCUGUGGUGGCGCCUCUUCGCGUGGUGGGAGCCGCCCACAUCGUGGCGGCCCCGUCGAUGAAGGGAGGCGCGCCAUGGUCGUGCGGCCUCCCCGGCCGCGCUUCCACUCGGCGGAAGUGCUGCCGGAGUUCAUCGUGUGGUUAGAGAACCCGGCCGGCACCUGGCUUCAUCUCCCGCGCUCCUUCGCCGGCGAGCUGCCGGCCACAGGUCCAGGCGGGCUCUGGCUGCAGGCGGACGACUGCUGCAGCAAAGCUUCCUGGGUCACGGUUGAGGUCUCCGUCGCGGGCAACAUAGCCCUGGCCCGCGGCUGGCAGACAUUUGCCCGCGCGCGUGGCCUGGGCAGGCGGUGCACCCUCCACUUCAAAUACGACGGCGACAUGACACUCUACAUGAGGGUGUUCGGAGAAGACGGCCGGCACGUCGGGUGCUGCCCCGAGGACAACGACGGUUGAUACGUCUCCAACGUAUCUAUAAUUUUUUAUUGUUCCAUGCUAUUAUAUAUUCUGUUUUGGAUGUUUAAUGAGCUUUAUUAUACACUUUUAUAUUAUUUUUCAGACUAACCUAUUAACCGGAGGCCCAACCCAAAUUGCUGUUUUUUUGCCUAUUUCAGUGUUUCGAAGGAAAGGAAUACCAAACGGAGUCCAAACGGAAUGAAACCUUCGGGAAUGUGAUUUUCGGAACAAACGUGAUCCAGAGGACUUGGAGUGGACGUCAAGCAAUCAACGAGGAGGCCACGAGCUAGGGGGUCGCGCCUACCCCGUGGGCGCGCCCUCCACCCUCGUGGGCCCCUCGUAGCUCCACCGACCUACUUCUUCCUCCUAUAUAUACCUACGUACCCUGAAAACAUCAGAUACAGAGCCAAAACCCCUAUUUCCACCGCCGCAACCUUCUGUACCCGUGAGAUCCCAUCUUGGGGCCUUUUCCGGCGCUCUGCCGGAGGGGGCACCGAUCACGGAGGGCUUCUACAUCAACACCAUAACCUCUCCAAUGAUGUGUGAGUAGUUUACCUCAGACCUUCGGGUCCAUAGUUAUUAGCUAGAUGGCUUCUUCUCUCUUUUUGGAUCUCAAUACAAAGUUCUCCUCAAUUCUCUUGGAGAUCUAUUCAAUGUAAUCUUCUUUUGCGGUGUGUUUGUCGAGAUCCGAUGAAUUGUGGGUUUAUGAUCAAGAUUAUCUAUGAACAAUAUUUGAAUCUCCUCUGAAUUCUUUUAUGUAUGAUUGGUUAUCUUUGCAAGUCUCUUCGAAUUAUCAGUUUGGUUUGGCCUACUAGAUUGAUCUUUCUUGCAAUGGGAGAAGUGCUUAGCUUUGGGUUCAAUCUUGCGGUGCUCAAUCCCAGUGACAGAAGGGGAAACGGCACGUAUUGUAUUGUUGCCAUCGAGGAUAAAAAGAUGGGGUUUAUAUCAUAUUGCAUGAGUUUAUCCCUCUACAUCAUGUCAUCUUGCUUAAAGCGUUACUCCGUUCUUAUGAACUUAAUACUCUAGAUGCAUGCUGGAUAGCGGUUGAUGCGUGGAGUAAUAUGCAGGCAUGAGUCAGUCUACUUGUCAUGGACGUGAUGCCUAUAUACAUGAUCAUACCUAGAUAUUCUCAUGACUAUGCUCAAUUCUAUCAAUUGCUCGACAGUAAUUUGUUUACCCACCGUAAUACUUAUGCUAUCUUGAGAGAAGCCACUAGUGAAACCUAUGGCCCCCGGGUCUAUUUUCCAUCAUAUUAAUCUCUUGUCAACAAGUUAUUUCUAUUACCGUUUAUUUUGCUUUCUUUACUUUUAGUCUUUAUCAUAAAAAUACCAAAAAAAUUAUCUUAUCAUCUCUAUCAGAUCCCACUUUUGUAAGUGGCCGUGAAGGGAUUGACAACCCCUUUAUCGCGUUGGUUGCAAGGUUCUUAUUUGUUUGUGUAGGUGUGUGGGACUUGAGCGUGGUCUCCUACUGGAUUGAUACCUUGGUUCUAAAAAACUGAGGGAAAUACUUACGCUACUUUACUGCAUCACCAUUUCCUCUUCAAGGGAAAACCAACGCAGUGCUCAAGAGGUAGCAAGAAGGAUUUCUGGCGCCGUUGCCGGGGAGUCCACGCAUAAUUCAAGACAUACCAAGUACCCAUCACAAACUCUUAUCCCUCGCAUUACAUUAUUUGCCAUUUGCCUCUCGUUUUCCUCUCCCCCACUUCACCCUUGUCGUUUUAUUCGCCUUCUUUUUCGUUUGCGUUUUUCUUGCCAGAUCUAUUGUUUGCUUGUGUUACCAUGUGCCUUCUAUUUGCUUGCAUCUUUGCUUGCUAAAAAUCUAUUGAUAUGGAUCCACUUAAAAUGUUCUACUUGGAUCAUCUUUGAUCCCUAUGCGCUCGUGCUGAAACCCCAACUAGCCUAGUUGAUGGGAAAUCUUUAGAUGAGCAUGCUCAUUUUGUGCGUCACCGUUUGUCUGAAAAGGGCAGACUCUUAUGGGAUCAAAUAAACAGAUUGAUGUGUUAUGCUUGGAAUCUUUGUGAAAUUUAUGAUUUUACUUGUUGCUCUGAAAACCUUAAGAAACACCUUCCCUACCAAUGUGAGUUUAGUGAUAAUGGAAUCGUAUCUUCGUAUGCUAAGGGUGUUUAUAAUUACUAUGAUGUUCAACAAAUUGAAGAAUUUGUUGCUUUUAAGGGUGCUUAUGAAAUUGCUUCUUUGAUUGAAACAUAUGAUACUACUCUUUACAAAUCUGAAAAUUUUACCAUACUUAAAUAUUGUUAUGAUAAUUAUGCUUCUAAUGCCUAUGUUAAACCAUAUAUGAGGACUCCUCCGCUGUCCAAGAAGAGGCUAAUAUUUUGCAAGAGUCUAUGGAGGAAGAAAAUAAUGAUAUACAUGAAUCUAUGGAUAAUUAUGAUUCUGAUGAUUUGAUUGAGAUAUCCCUUGAACAUGAUGUUUGUUAUUCUUGUGGCCAUGAUGCCAAUAUUUAUAAAGAUGAAUUUGCUAUAGUUCCAUAUGUUAAUCAUGAGAUCAUUGCUAUUACACCCAUACUUGAUAGUUCCUUCAAUGAAAAUCAUGAUUGCAAUGAUUUUACUAUAAAUUCUCUUGAUGUCAAUUGUGCUAAUAAUAUGCAACUAAGCUUGGGGAUGCUAGUUUUGCUAUGUCUACUACUUGUUGCAAUGAUCAUGAUUGGGGUGAUUCUUCUUAUAAUCUUGACAUUUUAUUUAAGCCCCGUGAUGAAUAUGAGAUUGAUAAUAAUGUUUGCAAUAAUACUGAAAGAGGGUUUGGAAGAGUGUCAACUUUAGAUCCCACAUAUUUGGAGAAUGUUCAAUCUUAUGAAGUUUUUGAUAAAAGUGGGUUUGGAGAGGUCAUGACUUUAGUUAAUGUUAAUCCCACUAUUUCGGAAGAGUGUCAACUUUGCAUGCAUGUGGAUCGUGUUGAAAAUAUUUCAUAUGAUAGAUAUAUUGUUGAAUUUGAUUAUGAUCCUACAUGUAAUUAUUAUGAGAGAGGAAAAUAUGGUUGUAGAAAUUUUCAUGUUACUAAAUUACCUCUCGUUAUGUUGAGAUUGCUAUUGUUUCUUUCCACUUCCUUGCAUAUGCUAGUUUUUGCUUGCCUUGAUAUUUUGUUUGCCUAUAAGAUGCCUAUGCAUAGGAAGUAUGUUAUACUUAGAUGUGUUUAUCACGUGUUCUAUGAUGCUCUCUUUGUGCUUUAAUUCUUGUCUUUCAUGUGAUCAUCAUUAAAAUUAUCAAUGCCUAGCUAAAAGGCUUUAAAGAAAAGCGCUUGUUGGGAGACAACCCAAUAUAUUUCCUUUCUGUUUUUUAAUAAAUAUUUGAUCUAGCCUCUGGUUAGAUUUUUUUUAUGUUUUAAUUAGUGUUUGUGCCAAGUUAAACCUAUAGGAUCUUCUUGGAUGAUAGUUAUUUGAUCUUGCUGAAAAUUCCAGAAACUUUCUGUUCACGAAAACAAUUGUUAAAAAUCACCAGAAUGUGAUAAAAUACUGAUUCCAAUUGCAGUAGAUCAAUAAACAAAUUAUCUAGGUCUUCCUAUUUUGGUAGAUUUUUGUGAGUUCCAGAAGUUUGCGUUAGAUACAGAUUACUACAGAAUGUUCUGCUUUUGACAGAUUCUGUUUUUCGCGUGUUGUUUGCUUAUUUUGAUGAAUCUAUGGCUAGUAAAAGAGUUUACAAACCAUAGAGAAGUUGGAAUACAGUAGGUUUAACACCAAUAUAAAUAAAGAAUGAGUUCAUUACAGUACCUUGAAGUGGUGUUUUGUUUUCUUUCGCUAACGGAGCUCACGAGAUUUUCUGUUAAGUUUUGUGUUGUGAAGUUUUCAAGUUUUGGGGAAAGAUUUGAUGGAUUAUGGAACAAGGACUGGCAAGAGCCUAAUCUUGGCGAUGCCCAAGGAACCCCAAGGUAAAAUUCAAGGACAACCAAAAGCCUAAGCUUGGGGAUGCCCCGGAAGGCAUCCCCUCUUUCGUCUUCGUCCAUCGGUAACUUUACUUGGAGCUAUAUUUUUAUUCACCACAUGAUAUGUGUUUUGCUUGGAGCGUCUUGUAUGAUUUGAGUCUUUAUUUUUUAUUUUACCAAAAUCAUCCUCGCUGUACACACCUUUUGAGAGAGACACACAUGAUUCGGAAUUUGUUAGAAUACUCUAUGUGCUUCACUUAUAUCUUUUGAGCUAUAUAGUUUUUGCUCGUGCUUCACUUAUAUCUUUUAGAGCACGGUGGUGGUUUUAUUUUAUAAGAAUUAUUGUUCUCUCAUGCUUCACUUAUAUUAUUUUGAGAGUCCUACAAAACAGCAUGGUAAUUUGCUUAAAUUGUGAAAUUAGUCCUAAUAUGAUAGGCAUCCAAGAUUAGUAAAAACUUUCUUAUAAGUGCGUUGAAUACUAGGAGAAGUUUGAUACUUGGUAAUUGUUUUGAGAUAUGAAGAUGGUGAUAUUAGAGUCAUGCUAGUUGAGUAGUUGUGAAUUUGAUAAAUACUUGUGUUAAAGUUUGUGAUUCCCGUAGCAUGCACGUAUGGUGAACCGUUAUGUGAUGAAGUCGGAGCAUGAUUUAUUUAUUUAUUGUCUUCCUUAUGAGUGGCGGUCGGGGACGAGCGAUGGUCUUUUCCUACCAAUCUAUCCCCCUAGGAGCAUGCGUGUAGUACUUUGUUUUGAUAAGUAAUAGAUUUUUGCAAUAAGUAUGUGAGUUCCUUAUGACUAAUGUUGAGUCCAUGGAUUAUACGCACUCUCACCCUUCCACCAUUGCUAGCCUCUCUAGUAUCGCGCAACUUUUGCCGGUACCAUACACCCACCAUUACCUUCCUCAAAACAGCCACCAUACCUACCUAUUAUGGCAUUUCCAUAGCCAUUCCGAGAUAUAUUGCCAUGCAACUUACAACCGUUCCGUUUACUAUGACACGUUCCAUCAUUGUCAUAUUGCUUUGCAUGAUCAUGUAGUUGACAUCGUAUUUGUGGCAAAGCCACCGUUCAUAAUUUUCAUACAUGUCACUCUUGAUUCAUUGCAUAUCCCGGUACUCCGCCGGAGGCAUUCACAUAGAGUCAUAUUUUUGUUCUAAGUAUUGAGUUGUAAUUCUUGAGUUGUAAGUAAAUAAAAGUGUGAUGAUCAUCAUUAUUAGAGCAUUGUCCCAUGUGAGGAAAGGAUGAUGGAGACUAUGAUUCCCCCACAAGUCGGGAUGAGACUCCGGACGAAAAAAAGAAGAACAAAAGAGGCCAUAAAAAAGAGAAAAAGGCCCAAAUAAAAAAAUAAAAAAUAUAAAAAGGAGAUGAGAGAAAAAUAGAGAAGGGACAAUGUUACUAUCCUUUUACCACACUUGUGCUUCAAAGUAGCACCAUGAUCUUCAUGAUAGAGAGUCUCCUAUGUUGUCACUUUCAUAUACUAGUGGGAAUUUUACAUUAUAGAACUUGGCUUGUAUAUUCCAAUGAUGGGCUUCCUUAAAAUGCCCUAGGUCUUCAUGAGCAAGCGAGUUGGAUGCACACCCACUUAGUUUCUUUUGUUGAGCUUUCAUACACUUAUAGCUCUAGUGCAUCCAUUGCAUGGCAAUACCUACUCACUCACAUUGAUAUCUAUUGAGGGGCAUCUCCAUAGCCCAUUGAUACGCCUAGUUGAUGUGAGACUAUCUUCUUAUUUUUUGUCUUCUCCACAACCACCAUUCUAUUCCACAUAUAGUGCUAUGUCCAUGGCUCACGCUCAUGUAUUGCGUGAAGAUUGAAAAAGUUUGAGAACAUCAAAAGUAUGAAACAAUUGCUUGGCUUGUCAUCGGGGUUGUGCAUGAUUAAAUACUUUGUGUGAUGAAGAUAGAGCAUAGCCAGACUAUAUGAUUUUGUAGGGAUAACUUUCUUUGGCCAUGUUAUUUUGAGAAGACAUGAUUGCUUUGUUAGUAUGCUUGAAGUAUUAUUAUUUUUAUGUCAAUAUUAAACUUUUAUCUUGAAUAUUUCGGAUCUGAAUAUUCAUGCCACAAUUAAGAGAAUUACAUUGAAAAUUAUGCUAAGUAGCAUUCCACAUCAAAAAUUCUGUUUUUAUCAUUUACCUACUCGAGGGCGAGCAGCAAUUAAGCUUGGGGAUGCUUCAUACGUCUCCAACGUAUCUAUAAUUUUUGAUUGUUCCAUGCUAUUAUAUAUUCUGUUUUGGAUGUUUAAUGGGAUUUAUUAUACACUUCUAUAUUAUUUUUGGGACUAACCUAUUAACCGGGGGCCCAGCCCAAAUUGCUGUUUUUUUUACCUAUUUUAGUGUUUCAAAGGAAAGGAAUACCAAACGGAGUCCAAACGGAAUGAAACCUUCGGGAACGUGAUUUUCGGAACAAACGUGAUCCAGAGGACUUGGAGUGGACGUCAAGCAAUCAACGAGGAGGCCACGAGGCAGGGGGCACACCUACCCCCCUGGGCGCGCCCUCCACCCUCGUGGGCCCCUCGUAGCUCCACCAACCUACUUCUUCCUCCUAUAUAUACCUACAUACCCCGAAAACAUCAGAUACAAAGCCAAAAACCCUAUUUCCACCGCCGCAACCUUCUUUACCCAUGAGAUCCCAUCUUGGGGCCUUUUCCGGCGCUCCACCGGAGGGGGCAUCGAUCAUGGAGGGCUUCUACAUCAACACCAUAGCCUCUCCGAUGAUGUGUGAGUAGUUUACCUCAGACCUUUGGGUCCAUAGUUAUUAGCUAGAUGGCUUCUUCUCUCUUUUUGGAUCUCAAUACAAAGUUCUCCUCGAUUCUCUUGGAGAUCUAUUCGAUGUAAUCUUCUUUUGCGGUGUGUUUGUCGAGAUCUGAUGAAUUGUGGGUUUAUGAUCAAGAUUAUCUAUGAACAAUAUUUGAAUCUCCUCUGAAUUCUUUUAUGUAUGAUUGGUUAUCUUUGCAAGUCUCUUCGAAUUAUCAGUUUGGUUUGGCCUACUAGAUUGAUCUUUCUUGCAAUGGGAGGAGUGCUUAGCUUUGGGUUCAAUCUUGCGGUGCUCUAUCCCAGUGACAGAAGGGGAAACGACACGUAUUGUAUUGUUGCCAUCGAGGAUAAAAAGAUGGGGUUUAUAUCAUAUUGCAUGAGUUUAUCCCUCUACAUCAUGUCAUCUUGCUUAAAGCGUUACUCCGUUCUUAUGAACUUAAUACUCUAGAUGCAUGCUGGAUAGCGGUCGAUGUGUGGAGUAAUAGCAGUAGAUGCAGGCAGGAGUCGGUCUACUUGUCACGGAAGUGAUGCCUAUAUACAUGAUCAUACCUAGAUAUUCUCAUAACCAUGCUCAAUUCUAUCAAUUGCUCGACAGUAAUUUGUUUACCCACCGUAAUACUUAUGCUAUCUUGAGAGAAGCCACUAGUGAAACCUAUGGCCCCGGGUCUAUUUUCCAUCAUAUUAAUCUCUCGUCAACAAGUUAUUUCUAUUACCGUUUAUUUUGCUUUCUUUACUUUUAGUCUUUAUCAUAAAAAUACCAAAAAUAUUAUCUUAUCAUCUCUAUCAGAUCUCACUUUUGCAAGUGGCCGUGAAGGGAUUGACAACCCCUUUAUCGCAAUUGUUGCAAGGUUCUUAUUUGUUUGUGUAGGUGCGUGGGACUUGAGCGUGGUCUCCUACUGGAUUGAUACCUUGGUUCUCAAAAACUGAGGGAAAUACUUACGCUACUUUAUUGCAUCACCCUUUCCUCUUCAAGGGAAAACCAACGCAGUGCUCAAGAGGUAGCAACGGUGAGGAGGUGCUCGGCCUUGGCGACGGCCGUGAUGAGGGUGUGGAUGGCCUUGCCCUCGGCGCUGGCCGCUGCUCGUCCAGCUACGGUGGUCUUCCUCCGGCGACAGCUCCAGUAGCAGCGGCUAUGACCAGCAGCCGCGCCCGCUUCGAGGGCGGCAGCGGGUCGUCUCGUCGCCGCGCCCCGGUGAAGCGCGAGGAGGGGUCCGGCUGAGCCCAGGAGAGCAGCAUUUGCCCAUCCCCGCGGGCGGCUGUAGGGCACGCGCCGCUUUUGUUUCGUCCGUUCUUCCUGCAUGAAGAGAGACAAGUAUGUGGCCCCGUAGGGGUGUGCAACGAACCAUGAUCUCAAGUUGCCAUGCCAUGUUUAUUUUUCCUAUGUUAUGUCGCAGCGUUAACGUUUCAUGUAGGUGCGUAGAAACAACUUAGCCCGAUGCGCUUGAAGUAGUAGUUUCCAUCUCAGGAGGUGAGCGUUAGUACCUGACGAGGCCUCCAUGACUCGGGAGGCGUCCGGGGAUUGCAAAAAAUUCAUUAGGAAACUCUUAUCUUCUGAGCUCUUCUGAGCCCUGGUCGCAGGCGUAGCCGGCCAUGACCCAUCGCCUUGCAUCGCGGUACCCAAGGGGCACGGAUUGAGGGAGGUGCGCCAAUUUGCGAGCUCGAGCGAGGGUGCCUUGCGAAGAACAGGAAAAACGCUCACGAGGGAGAAUAGGGAAAACGCUCACGAGGGCCCCUGUCCAGCCCCCUCGCGAGGCAUGCGAGGGAGAGAACGGGUCAAGACGGGGAACCGAGGGCAGAAAAAGGGGCAAAAAGGCAGGGGAACCAACCAGCGAGGAACACCAGAAACCAAAUUCUCAUUAAAGAGGGGCAAGCCAACCGCGGAAAGCAAAUGAAAAGCCACGUCCGGCACCUAGUCUAGUCUUCUUGUCUUCUCACCAGCGCGGAGCUAAGUGCUGCCACUAAGAUGUGGGAGGGAGCCCCCGAGGCCCGAGGGCGGCACUCCGGAGACUCCGGGGCGUGUACAACCCCACUCAUUAUUACGUGAGAGUGUCACGAGCGGAGACCUUCACAGGCACUGGGCCUUCUUCACAGGCACUGGGCCUUUCUUCAUGGGUAGAACUUCCGGAGGUGCUGGAUGUUCCAGGCGUUCUAGAUGGGGGUCCCGUCCUGUGUCUCCAGGCGCGCGGCGCCAGGUCUGGAGACGUGGGCGACCCGAAACGGGCCCUCCCACAUGGGUGAGAGCUUGUGCAGCCCUUCCCUGGAGAGCACCCGCCUCAGGACGAGGUCACCCACCUCGAGCGUCCUGGAGCGGACGCCGCGACAGUGGUACCGCCGCAGCGCCUGCUGGUACCUUGCGGCUCGGAGCGAGGCUUCACGGCGGCGUUCCUCCCCCAGCACGAGGUCCAUCCCCCGGAUGGCGUCCUGCUGCGUUUCAUCAUACGCCAGGACCCGCGCGGAGUGAUGCCUGACCUCAUGUGGGAGAACCAAUUCUGCUCCAUAGACGAGGAACAACGGGGUCUCGCCUGUUGGCUUGGUGGCGGUGGUGCGGAUGGACCACAACAUGGACUGGAGCUCGUCGUGCCAGCCCCUGCCGCAUGCCUCGAGCUUCUUCUUGAAGGUCCUGGUCUUGAGACCCCUCAGGAUUUCCGCGUUGGCGUGCUCGGCCUGGCCGUUGCUCCUGGGGUGCACCAUGGAGGCGUAGCAGAUCUGCGUUCCAAGGUUAGCACAAUAUGUUUUGAAGAGAUUGCUAGUGAACUGCGAGCCGUUGUCGGUGAUGAUGCGGUUAGGGACCCCAAAUCGGCUUACGAGGCCCUUGAUGAACUUGACUGCUGAUCCGGAUGGGAUGGUGCAGACGGCUUCCACUUUCGCCCACUUGGUGAAUUUGUCGAUGGCGACGUAGAGGUAGCGGUAACCUCCAGGCGCUCGAGGGAAUGGGCCCAGGAUAUCCAGCCCCCAGACCGCGAACGACCAUGAGAGCGGGAUAGUCUGGAGGCCCUGAGCUGGCUGGUGGAUCUGCUUGGCGUGGAAUUGGCAAGCCUCGCAGGAUUUCACCAGCUUGGCCACAUCGUUGAGUGCCGUGGGACAGUAGAACCCACUGCAGAAAGCCUUGCCGACUAGGGUGCGUGACGAUGAGUGGUGCCCGCAGUCUCCGCCGUGGAUGUCAGCCAGCAGCUCAUUCCCCUGUUCCCUGGAGAUGCAUCGCAGAGAAACAUCAUUUGGUCGCUUUCUGUAUAGCUCACCAUCCUGAAUGCAGUACGCCGUAGCCUGUCGGGCCACUCGCUCCGCGUCUUCUUCCUUCUCCGGCAACGUGCCUUGCGUCAAGUAUGCCUUGAAUUCCUCGAUCCAGCACCCCUCCUGAGGCUUGAGCGCUAGGAGCAGGCACGCUCCCGAGGUCGGGCCGCAGGUGGGGGCUCCCGAGGCUGGUGGCUGGGGAAGUUCCUCCUGAGGUGGCGCUGAUUCUGCAGGUGGAGGUGCCGCAGAAGGCUUGAAGAGCCGCUCCUCAAAGACGCCAGGCUCUUGGGGUAGCCGCUUGGAUGCUCUCUUGGCGAUGUCAUCGGCCUCCUUGUUGGUGCCACAAGGCACAUGCUGUAGCUCCAGGCCCAAGAACUGCUUCUCCAUUUUGCGUACCUCCGUGAGGUAUGCCUCCAUGUGUUCAUCCUUUGGCUCAUACAUCUUGUUGGAGAAGUUGACGAGGAGCUACGAGUCUCCCUUGAUGGUGAGGCAUUUCACCCCCAGGGCCAUCGCGGCCCUGAGGCCGGCGAUAAGGCCUUCAUGCUAUGCGAUGUUGUUGGAGACCUUCUCGCCCCGCUGGAAGCAGAGCUGCACGGCGUAGUAAAGCUUGUCCUGAGUUGGCGAAAUGAGCACGGCUCUAGCCUCCGCGCUCUGGCGUGCAAACGCGCCAUCGAAGUACAUGACCCAGCCAUCCGGCGCUUCACUCCCUGGCGAGAGGGAUCGGUUCUCGCCUGCUUCAAGUUCCGGGGCGUCGGUCCAUUCGGCCACAAAGUCGGCGAGUGCAGCCCCCUUGAUGACCCUAGUUGUGCUGAAUUCCAAGUCAAACGCUUGCAACUCGAUGUUCCAUUCUGCAACCCUUCCCGCAGCAUUGGGGCUCCUGAGGACUCUCUCCAACGGGUAAGCUGAGACGACCUUGAUGGGGUGACCUUGGAAGUAGUGGCACACCUUACGCGAGGCUACCAGGAGCGCGAGUAAGAGCUUCUGAGGCAUGGGGUAUCGUGCUCUCGCAUGCCGCAGCACUGUGCUGACAAAGUACACUAGGUGCUCGACGAGGGCAGGAGAGUUGGCGGAGUCUUUGGCUCUUGGGGGCUGAGGCGUUUCCUGCGGAUCUCCAACUUUAGGGGCUUGAUGACUUGUCGGGGCAGCCAGCGCCUCAGGAGCAUUGCCUUGGUGUUGUGCUUCCUCGUCCAGCCUGGUGACUUCACUUGGCGGGACCUUGAUCUGACGCUCUUCUCUGAGGGCCACCAGCGCCGUGCUGGCUGAGUGGGGCGUGGCAGAUAGGUAAAGUACCAAGGGCUCGAGGGGGCGAGGUGCCACCAUCACCGGUGGGCUGGUCAAGUAUCUCUUGAGGUCUUGAAACGCUUGGUCAGCCUCCGGGGUCCACUCAAAUGGGCCCUUCUUCUUCAUCAGCUUGAAGAAUGGUAGGGCGUGUUCUCCCAACUUAGAGAUGAAGCGCCCCAGCGAAGUCACGCAGCCGGCAAGCUUCUGCAUCUCUUUGAGGGUUUGCGGUGGGCUCAUGUCUUCGAUCGCCUUGACCUUCUACGGGAUGGCCUCGAUCCCCCUGUGGGACAUGAGAAAGCCCAGCAACUUGCCGGAAGGGACACCAAACACGCACUUCUUUGGGUUGAGCCGCAAGUCCACCUGGCGCAUGCUACCUCUUGAGCACUGCGUUGGUUUUCCCUUGAAGAGGAAAGGAUGAUGCAGUAAAGCAGCGUAAGUAUUUCCCUCAGUUUUUGAGAACCAAGGUAUCAAUCCAGUAGGAGGCCACGCACGAGUCCCUCGCACCUACACAAACAAAUAAAUCCUCGCAACCAACGCGAUAAGGGGUUGUCAAUCCCUACACGGUCACUUACAAGAGUGAGAUCUGAUAGAUAUGAUAAGAUAAUAUUUUUGGUAUUUUAUGAUAAAGAUGCAAAGUAAAGAAAGCAAAAUAAAAAUGGCGCCAGAAAUAGCUUGUUGUCGGGAGAUUAAAUAUGAUGGAAAAUAGACCUCGGGGCCAUAGGCUUCACUAGUGGCUUCUCUCAAGAGCAUAAGUAUUACGGUGGGUGAACAAAUUAUUGUUGAGCAAUUGACAGAAUUGAGCACAGUUAUGAGAAUAUCUAGGUAUGAUCAUGUAUAUAGGCAUCACGUCCGAGACAAGUAGACCGACUCCUGCCUACAUCUACUAUAUUACUCCACACAUCAACCGCUAUCCAGCAUGCAUCUAGAGUAUUAAGUUCAUAAGAACAGAGUAACGCUUUAAGUAAGAUGACAUGAUGUAGAGGGAUAAACUCAUGCAAUAUGAUAUAAACCCCAUCUUGUUAUCCUCGAUGGCAACAAUACAAUACGUGCCUUGCUGCCCCUACUGUCACUGGGAAAGGACACCGCAAGAUUGAACCCAAAGCUAAGCACUUCUCCCAUUGCAAGAAAGAUCAAUCUAGUAGGCCAAACCAAACUGAUAAUUCGAAGAGACUUGCAAAGAUAACCAAUCAUACAUAAAAGAAUUCAGAGAAGAUUCAAAUAUUGUUCAUAGAUAAACUUGAUCAUAAACCCACAAUUCAUCGGUCUCAACAAACACACCGCAAAAGAAGAUUACAUCGAAUAGAUCUCCAUGAGAGAGGGGGAGAACAUUGUAUUGAGAUCCAAAAAGAGAGAAGAAGCCAUCUAGCUAAUAACUAUGGACCCGAAGGUCUGAGGUAAACUACUCACACAUCAUCGGAGAGGCUAUGGUGUUGAUGUAGAAGCCCUCCGUGAUCGAUGCCCCCUCCGGCGGAGCUCCGGAACAGGCCCCAAGAUGGGAUCUCACGGGUACAGAAGGUUGCGGCGGUGGAAUUAGGGGUUUGGCUCCGUAUCUGGUAGUUUGGGGGUACGUAGGUAUAUAUAGGAGGAAGGAGUACGUCGGUGGAGCAACAGGGGGCCCACGAGGGUGGAGGGCGCGCCCCCUACCUCGUGCCCUCCUGCUUGAUGUCUUGACGUAGGGUCCAAGUCCUCUGGAUCACGUUCGUUCCGAAAAUCACGUUCCCGGAGGUUUCAUUCCGUUUGGACUCCGUUUGAUAUUCUUUUUCUGCGAAACUCUGAAAUAGGCAAAGAAACACUAAUUCUGGGCUGGGCCUCCGGUUAAUAGGUUAGUCCCAAAAAUAAUAUGAAAGUGUAUAAUAAAGCCCAAUAAUGUCCAAAACAGAAUAUAAUAUAGCAUGGAACAAUCAAAAAUUAUAGAUACGUUGGAGACGUAUCAAGCAUCCCCAAGCUUAAUUCCUGCUCGUCCUCGAGUAGGUAAAUGAUAAAAACAGAAUUUUUGAUGUGGAAUGCUACUUGGUAUAAUUUCAAUGUAAUUCUUCUUAAUUGUGGUAUGAAUAUUCAGAUCCGAAAGAUCCAAGACAAAAGUUCAAUAUUGACAUAAAGAUAAUAAUACUUCAAGCAUACUAACUAAGCAAUUAUGUCUUCUCAAAAUAACAUGGCCAAACAAAGUUAUCCCUACAAAAUCAUAUAGUCUGGCUAUGCUAUAUCUUCACCACACAAAAUAUUUAAAUCAUGCACAACCCUGAUGACAAGCCAAGCAAUUGUUUCAUACUUUUGACGUUCUCAAACUUUUUCAAUCUUCACGCAAUACAUGAGCGUGAGCCAUGGACAUAGCACUAUAUGUGGGGUAGAAUGGUGGUUGUGGAGAAGACAAAAAAGGAGAAGAUAGUAUCACAUCAACUAGGCGUAUCAACGGGCUAUGGAGAUGCCCAUCAAUAGAUAUCAAUGUGAGUGAGUAGGGAUUGCCAUGCAACGGAUGCACUAGAGCUAUAAGUAUAUGAAAGCUCAACAAAAGAAACUAAGUGGGUGUGCAUCCAACUCGCUUGCUCACGAAGACCUAGGGCAUUUUGAGGAAGCCCAUCAUUGGAAUAUACAAGCCAAGUUCUACAAUGAAAAUUCCUAUUAGUAUAUGAAAGUGAUAUCAUAGGAGACUCUCUAUCAUGAAGAUAAUGGUGCUACUUUGAAGCACAAGUGUGGUAAAAGGAUAGUAACAUUGUCCCUUCUCUCUUUUUCUCUCAUUUUUUUAUUUGGGCCUUUUUUAAGGCCUCUUUUGUUUCGUCCGGAGUCUCAUCCCGACUUGUGGGGGAAUCAUAGUCUCCAUCAUCCUUUCCUCACUUGGGACAAUGCUCUAAAAAUGAUGAUCAUCACACUUUUAUUUACUUACAACUCAACAAUUACAACUCAAUACUUAGAACAAAAUAUGACUCUAUGUGAAUGCCUCCGGCGGUGUACCGGGAUAUGCAGUGGAUCAAGAGUGACAUGUAUGAAUGAAUUAUGAACGGUGGCUUUCCCACAAAUACAAUGUCAACUACAUGAUCAUGCGAAGCAAUAUGACAAUGAUGGAGCGUGUCAUACUAAACGGAACGGUGGUAAGUUGCAUGACAAUAUAUCUCGGAAUGGCUAUGGAAAUGCCAUGAUAGGUAGGUAUGGUGGCUGUUUUGAGGAAGGUAUAUGGUGAGUGUAUGAUACCGGCGAAAAGUGCGCGGUAUUAGAGAGGCUAGCAAAUGGUGGAAGGAAGAAAAGUGCGUAUAAUCCAUGGACUCAACAUUAGUCAUAAAGAACUCAUAUACUUAUUGCAAAAAUCUACAAGUUAUCAAAGCAAAGUAUUACGCGCAUGCUCCUAGGGGGAUAGAUUGGUAGGAAAAGACCAUCGCUCGUCCCCGACCGCCACUCAUAAGGAAGACAAUCAAUAAAUAAAUCAUGCUCUGACUUCAUCACAUAACGGUUCACCAUACGUGCAUGCUACGGGAAUCACAAACUUUAACACAAGUAUUUCUCAAAUUCAAAACUACUCAACUAGCAUGACUCUAAUAUCACCAUCUUCAUAUCUCAAAACAAUUAUCAAGCAUCAAACUUCUCAUAGUAUUCAACACACUCAUAAGAAUUUUCUUUUUUCUUUACUGAUCUUGAAUGCAUAUUUUUGUUAAAGCAAACUACCAUGCUGUUUUGUAGGACUCUCAAAAUAAUCUAAGUGAAGCAUGAGAGAACAAUAGUUUCUAUAAAACAAAUCCACCACUGUGCUCUAAAAGAUAUAAGUGAAGCACUAGAGCAAAAACUAUAUAACUCAAACGAUAUAAGUGAAGCACAUAGAGUAUUCUAAUAAUUUCCGAAUCAUGUGUGUGUCUCAAAGGUGUGUACAGCAAGGAUGAUUGUGGUAAACUACCAAAUAAAGACUCAAAUAAUACAAGACGCUCCAAGCAAAACACAUAUCAUGUGGUGAAUAAAAAUAUAGCUCCAAGUAAAGUUACCGAUGGAAGUAGACGAAAGAGGGGAUGCCUUCCGGGGCAUCCCCAAGCUUUGGCUUUUAGGUGUCCUUAGAUUAUCUUAUGGUGCCUUGGGAAUCCCCAAGCUUAGGCUCUUGCCACUCCUUGUUCCAUAAUCCAUCAAAUCUUUGACCCAAAACUUGAAAACUUCACAACACAAAACUCAGCAGAAAAUAUCGUGAGCUCCGUUAGUGAAAGAAAAAACAAAAGACCACUUCAAGGUACUGUAAUGAACUCAUUCUUUAUUUAUAUUGGUGUUAAAAAUACUGUAUUCCAACUUCUCUUUGGUUUAUAAACUAUUUUACUAGCCAUAGAUUCAUUAAAAUAAGCAAACAACACACAAAAACAGAAUCUGUAACUAACGCAAAUUCUGGAACUCCAAAAAUUCAGCCAAAAUAGGACGACCUAGAUAGUUUGUUUAUUGAUAAGAAUCAAUUGGAAUCAAUAUUUUAUCACGUUCUGGUGAUUUUUAACAAUUAUUUUCGUGAACAGAAAGUUUCUGGAAUUUUCAGCAAGAUCAAAUAAUUAUCAUCCAAGAAGAUCCUAUAGGUUAAACUUGGCACAAACACUAAUUAAAACAUAAAAACUCAUCUAACCAGAGGCUAGAUCAAAUAUUUAUUCCUAAACAGAAGCAAAAAGCAAAAAAAAACUAAAAAUAAAAUUGGAUUGCCUUCCAACAAGCGCUAUCGUUUAACGCCCCUAGCUAGUCAUAGAUAACUUUAAUGAUGCUCGCAUGAGAGACAAGAAUUGAAGCACAAAGAGAGCAUCAUGAAACACGUGACAAACACAUCUAAGUCUAACAUACUUCCUAUGCAUAGGCAUCUUAUAGGCAAACAAAUUAUCAUAGCAAGCAAAAACUAGCAUAUGCAAGGAAGUGGAAAGAAACAAUAGCAAUCUCAACAUAACGAGAGGUAAUUUAUUAUCAUGAAAAUUUCUACGACCAUAUUUUCCUCUAUCAAAAUAAUUACAUGUGGGAUCAUAAGCAAAUUCAACAAAAUAGCUAUCACAUAAAAUAUUUUCAACAUGAUCCACAUGCAUGCAAAGUUGACACUCUUCCGAAAUAGUGGGAUUAACAUUAACUAAAGUCAUGACCUCUCCAAACCCACUUUUAUACAAAAUUUCAUCAGAUUGAAUAUUCUCCAAAUAUGUGGGAUCUAAAGUUGACACUCUUCCAAACCCACUUUCAAUAUUAUUGCAAACAAUAUUAUCAAUCUCAUAUUCGUCAUGGGGAUUAAAUAAAUUUUCAAGAUCAUAAGAAGAAUCACCCCAAUCAUGAUCAUUGAAACAAGUAGUAGACAUAGCAAGACUAGCAUCCCCAAGCUUAGGGUUUUGCAUAUUAUUAGCAGAAUUUACAUCAAGAGAAUUUAUAUUAAAAUCAUUGAAAUCAUGCUUUUCAUCGAGGGAACUAUCAAGCAUGGGUGCAAUAGCAACAAUCCCAUUUUUAACAUAAGGAACUAUAGCAAAUUCGUCUUCAUAAAUAUUGGCAUCAUGGCCACAGGAAUAGCAAGCAUCAUGUUCAUCAAGGGAUAUUUCAACCAAAUCAUCGGAAUCAUCAUUAUCUAUAGAUUCAUGCAUAUCAUUAUUUUCUUCCAAAGCAACGGUCAUUCUUUCAAUAAAUUCUUGGACAUAGACAUUAUGAGCAAAGUUUUCAUUGCAAUAUUUAAGUAUGACGGAAUUUUCAGAUUUGUUGAGAGUAAAAUCAUGCUUUUCAAUCAAAGAAGCAACUUCAUGAGCAUCCUUAAAAAUGAAAAAUUCUUCAAUUUGUUCGAUAUCAUAGUAGCUAUAAACACCGUUUGCAUAAGAAGAUAAGAUUCCAUUAUCAUUGAACUCACAUAGGUAGGGAAGGUUUUUUUAGGGUUCUUAGAGCAACAAGUAAAAUCACAAAUUCCACAAAGAUUCCAAGCAUAGCAUAGCAAACUAUUUAUAUGAUACCAUAAGAGCUUCCCUUUUUCAGACAAACGAUGACACACAAAAUGAGCAUGCUCAUCUAAAGAUUUCCCAUCAACUAGGCUAGUUGGGGUUUCAGCACGAGCGCAUAAGGAUCGAAGAUGAUCCAAGUAGAACACUUUAAGUGGAUCCAUACCAAUAGAUUUUCAGCAAGCGAAGAUGCAAGCAUAUAGAAGGCACAAGGAAACACAAACAAAGAUACAUACGGGAAGAAGGCGAACGAAAAAGAGAGGGCGAAUAAAACGGCAAGGGUGAAGUGGGGGAGAGGAAAACGAGAGGCAAAUGGCAAAUAAUGUAAUGCGGGAGAUAAGGGUUUGUGAUGGGUACUUGGUAUGUUGACUUUUGCGUAGACUCCCCGGCAACGGCGCCAGAAAUCCUUCUCGCUACCUCUUGAGCACUGUGUUGGUUUUCCCUUGAAGAGGAAAGGGUGAUGCAGUAAAGCAGCGUAAGUAUUUCCCUCAGUUUUUGAGAACCAAGGUAUCAAUCCAGUAGGAGGCCACGCACGAGUCCCUCGCACCUACACAAACAAAUAAAUCCUCGCAACCAACGAGAUAAGGGGUUGUCAAUCCCUACACGGUCACUUACGAGAGUGAGAUCUGAUAGAUAUGAUAAGAUAAUAUUUUUGGUAUUUUUAUGAUAAAGAUGCAAAGUAAAGAAAGCAAAAUAAAAACGGCGCCAGAAAUAGCUUGUUGUCGGGAGAUAGAAUAUGAUGGAAAAUAGACCCGGGGGCCGUAGGUUUCACUAGUGGCUUCUCUCAAGAGCAUAAGUAUUACGGUGGGUGAACAAAUUACUGUUGAGCAAUUGACAGAAUUGAGCAUAAUUACGAGAAUAUCUAGGUAUGAUCAUGUAUAUAGGCAUCACGUCCGAGACAAGUAGACCGACUCCUGCCUGCAUCUACUACUAUUACUCCACACAUCGACCGCUAUCCAGCAUGCAUCUAGAGUAUUAAGUUCAUAAGAACAGAGUAACGCUUUAAGUAAGAUGACAUGAUGUAGAGGGAUAAACUCAUGCAAUAUGAUAUAAACCCCAUCUUGUUAUCCUCGAUGGCAACAAUACAAUACGUGCCUUGCUGCCCCUACUGUCACUGGGAAAGGACACCGCAAGAUUGAACCCAAAGCUAAGCACUUCUCCCAUUGCAAGAAAGAUCAAUCUAGUAGGCCAAACCAAACUGAUAAUUCGAAGAGACUUGCAAAGAUAACAAAUCAUACAUAAAAGAAUUCAGAGAAGAUACAAAUUGGAUCAUAGAUAAACUUGAUCAUAAACCCACAAUUCAUCGGUCUCAACAAACACACAGCAAAAGAAGAUUACAUCGAAUAGAUCUCCACGAGAGAGGGGAGAACAUUGUAUUGAGAUCCAAAAAGAGAGAAGAAGCCAUCUAUCUAAAAACUACGGACCCGAAGGUCUAAGGUAAACUACUCACACAUCAUCGGAGAGGCUAUGGUGUUGAUGUAGAAGCCCUCCGUGAUCGAUGCCCCCUCCGGCGGAGCUCCGGAACAGGCCCCAAGAUGGGAUCUCACGGGUACAGAAGGUUGCGGUGGUGGAAUUAGGGUUUUGGCUUCAUAUCUGGUAGUUUGGGAGUACGUAGGUAUAUAUAGGAGGAAGGAGUACGUCGGUGGAGCAACAGGGGGCCCACGAGGGUGGAGGGCGCGCCCAGGGGGGUAGGCGCGCCCCCUACCUCGUGCCCUCCUGGUUGAUGUCUUGACGUAGGGUCCAAGUCCUCUGGAUCACGUUCGUUCCGAAAAUCACGUUCCCGAAGGUUUCAUUCUGCUACCUCUUGAGCACUGCAUUGGUUUUCCCUUGGAGAGGAAAGGGUGAUGCAGCAAAGUAGCGUAAGUAUUUCCCUCAGUUUUUGAGAACCAAGGUAUCAAUCCAGUAGGAGGCUACGCGCUAGUCCCUCGCACCUACACAAAACAAAUAAAUCCUCGCAACCAACGCGAUAAGGGGUUGUCAAUCCCUUCACGGUCACUUACGAGUGUGAGAUCUGAUAGAUAUGAUAGAUAAUAUUUUUGGUAUUUUUGUGAUAAAGAUGCAAAGUAAAAUAAAAGAAAAGUAAAAAGCAAAGGAAAUAACUAAGUAUUGGAAGAUUAAUAUGAUGAAGAUAGACCCGGGGGCCAUAGGUUUCACUAGUGGCUUCUCUCAAGAGCAUAAGUAUUUUACGGUGGGUGAACGAAUUACUGUUGAGCAAUUGACAGAAUUGAGCAUAGUUAUGAGAAUAUCUUGGUAUGAUCAUGUAUAUAGGCAUCACAUCCGAGACAAGUAGACCGACUCCUGCCUGCAUCUACUACUAUUACUCCACUCAUCGACCGCUAUCCAGCAUGCAUCUAGAGUAUUAAGUUCAUGAAAACAGAGUAACGCCUUAAGCAAGAUGACAUGAUGUAGAGGGAUAAAUUCAUGCAAUAUGAUAAAAAACCCAUCUUGUUAUACUCGAUGGCAACAAUACAAUACGUGCCUUGCUGCCCGUACUGUCACUGGGAAAGGACACCGCAAGAUUGAACCCAAAGCUAAGCACUUCUCCCAUUGCAAGAAAGAUCAAUCUAGUAGGCCAAACCAAACUGAUAAUUCAAAGAGACUUGCAAAGAUAACCAAUCAUACAUAAAAGAAUUCAGAGAAGAUUCAAAUAUUGUUCAUAGAUAAUCUUGAUCAUAAACCCACAAUUCAUCGGUCUCAAAAAACACACCGCAAAAGAAGAUUACAUCGAAUAGAUCUCCAUGAGAGAGGGGGAGAACAUUGUAUUGAGAUCCAAAAAGAGAGAAGAAGCCAUCUAGCUACUAACUAUGGACCCGAAGGUCUGAAGUAAACUACUCACACUUCAUCGGAGAGGCUAUGGUGUUGAUGUAGAAGCCCUCCGAGAUGUAUGCCCCCUCCGGCGGAGCUCCGGAACAGGCCCCAAUUUGGGAUCUCGUGGGUACAGAAGGUUGCGGCGGUGGAAUUAGGUUUUUGGCUCCGUAUCUGAUCGUUUGGGGGUACGUAGGUAUAUAUAGGAGGAAGGAGUACGCCGGUGGAGCAACAUGGGGCCCACGAGGGUGGAGGGCGCGCCCAGGGGGUAGGCGCGCCCCCUACCUCGUGGCCUCCUCCUUUGUUUCUUGAUGUAGGGUCCAAGUCUCCUGGAUCAUAUUCUUCCUAAAAAUCACGUUCCCGAAGGUUUCAUUCCGUUUGGACUCCAUUUGAUAUUCCAUUUUUGCGAAACUCUGAAAUAGGCAAAAAACAGCAAUUCUGGGCUGGGCCUCCGGUUAAUAGGUUAGUCCCAAAAAUAAUAUAAAAGUGAAUAAUAAAGCCCAAUAAUGUCCAAAACAGUAGAUAAUAUAGCAUGGAGCAAUCAAAAAUUAUAGAUACGUUGGAGACGUAUCAAGCAUCCCCAAGCUUAAUUCCUGCUCGUCCUCGAGUAGGUAAAUGAUAAAAACAAAAUUUUUGAUGCGGAGUGCUGCUUGGCAUAAUUUCAAUGUAAUUCUUCUUAAUUGUGGUAUGAAUUUUCAGAUCCGAAAGAUUCAAGACAAAAGUUUAAUAUUGACAUAAAAAUAAUAAUACUUCAAGCAUACUAGCAAAGCAAUUAUGUCUUCUCAAAAUAACAUGGCCAAAGAAAGUUAUCCCUACAAAAUCAUAUAGUCUGGCUAUGCUCUAUCUUCACCACACAAAGUAUUUAAAUCAUGCACAACACCGAUGACAAGCCAAGCAAUUGUUUCAUACUUUUGACGUUCUCAAACUUUUUCAAUCUUCACGCAAUACAUGAGCGUGAGCCAUGGACAUAGCACUAUAUGUGGAAUAGAAUGGUGGUUGUGGAGAAGACAAAAAGGGAGAAGAUAGUCUCACAUCAACUAGGCGUAUCAACGGGCUAUGGAGAUGCCCAUCAAUAGAUAUCAAUGUGAGUGAGUAGGGAUUGCCAUGCAACGGAUGCACUAGAGCUAUAAGUAUAUGAAAGCUCAACAAAGGAAAGUAAGUGGGUGUGCAUCCAACUCGCUUGCUCACGAAGACCUAGGGCAUUUUGAGGAAGCCCAUCAUUGGAAUAUACAAGCCAAGUUCUAUAAUGAAAAUUUCCCACUAGUAUAUGAAAGUGACAAAAUGAGAGACUCUCUAUCAUGAAGAUCAUGGUGCUACUUUGAAGCACAAGUGUGGUAAAAGGAUAGUAACAUUGUCCCUUCUCUCUUUUUUUGGGCCUUUUCCUCUCUUUUUUAUGGCCUCUUUUUUUUCGUCCGGAGUCUCAUCCCGACUUGUGGGGGAAUCAUAGUCUCCAUCAUCCUUCUCCUUACUUGGGACAAUGCUCUAAAAAUGAAGAUCAUCACACUUUUAUUUUCUUACAACUCAACAAUUACAACUCGAUACUUAGAACAAAAUAUGACUCUAUAUGAAUGCCUCUGGCGGUGUACCAGGAUAUGCAAUGAAUCAAGAGUGACAUGUAUGAAAGAACUAUGAACGGUGGCUUUGCCACAAAUACGAUGUCAACUACAUGACCAUGCAAAGCAAUAUGACAAUGAUGGAGCGUGUCAUAAUAAACGGAACGGUGGAAAGUUGCAUGGCAAUAUAUCUCGGAAUGGCUAUGGAAAUGCCAUAAUAGGUAGGUAUGGUGGCUGUUUUGAGGAAGGUUUAUGGUGGGUGUAUGAUACCGGCGAAAAGUGUGCGGUAUUAGAGAGGCUAGCAAUGGUGGAAGGAAGAAGAAUGCGUAUAAUCCAUGGACUCAACAUUAGUAAUAAAGAACUCAUAUACUUAUUGCAAAAAUCUACAAGUUAUCAAAGCAAAGUAUUACGCGCAUGCUCCUAGGGGGAUAGAUUGGUAGGAAAAGACCAUCGCUCGUCCCCGACCGCCACUCAUAAGGAAGACAAUCAAUAAAUAAAUCAUGCUCCGACUUCAUCACAUAACGGUUCACCAUAUGUGCAUGCUACGGGAAUCACAAACUUUAACACAAGUAUCUCUCAAAUUCACAACUACUCAACUAGCAUGACUCUAAUAUCACCAUCUUUAUAUCUCAAAACAAUUAUCAAGCAUCAAUUUUUCAUAGUAUUCAACACACUCAUAAGAAUUUUUACUAUUCUUGAAUACCUGGCAUAUUAGGAUUAUUUAAGCAAAUUACCAUGCUAUUUAAGACUCUCAAAAUAAUCUAAGUGAAGCAUGAGAGAUCAAUAGUUUCUAUAAAACAAAUCCACCACCGUGCUCUAAAAGAUAUAAGUGAAGUACUAGAGCAAAACUAUAUAACUCAAAAGAUAUAAGCCAAGCACAUAGAGUAUUCUAACAAAUUCCAAAUCAUGUAUGGCUCUCUCAAAAGGUGUGUACAGCAAGGAUGAUUGUGGUAAACUAAAAAGCAAAGACUCAAAUCAUACAAGAUGCUCCAAGCAAAACAAAUAUCAUGUGGUGAAUAAAAAUAUAGCUCCAAGUAAAGUUACCGAUGGAAGUAGACGAAAGAGGGGAUUCCUUCCGGGGCAUCCCCAAGCUUUGGCUUUAUGGUUUCCUUAGAUUAUCUUGGGGGUGCCAUGGGCAUCCCCAAGCUUAGGCUCUUGCCACUCCUUGUUCCAUAAUCCAUCAAAUCUUUCACCCAAAACUUGAAAACUUCACAACACAAAACUUAACAUAAAAUCUCGUGAGCUCCGUUAGCGAAAGAAAACAAAAGACCACUUCAAGGUACUGUAAUGAACUCAUUCUUUAUUUAUAUUGGUGUUAAACCUACUGUAUUCCAACUUCUCUAUGGUUUAUAAACUAUUUUACUAGCCAUAGAUUCAUCAAAAUAAGCAAACAACACACGAAAAACAGAAUCUGUCAAAAACAGAAUAGUCUGUAGUAAUCUGUAAGUAACGCAAACUUCUGGAACUCCAAAAAAUCAGCCAAAAUAGGAAGACCUAGACAAUUUUGUUUAUUGAUCAGCAGAAAUUGGAAUCAGUAUUGUAUCACGUUCUGGUGAUUUUUAACAAUUGUUUUCGUGAACAGUAAGUUUCUGGAAAUUACUGCAAGAUCAAAUAACUAUCAUCCAAGAAGAUCCUAUAGGUUUAACUUGGCACAAACACUAAUUAAAACUUAAAAACACAUCUAACCAGAGGAUAGAACAAAUAUUUAUUCCUAAACAUAAGCAAAAAGCAAAAAAAGUAAAAAUAAAAUUGGGUUGCCUCCCAACAAGCGCUAUCGUUUAACGUCCCUAGCUAGGCAUAAAAGCAAGGAUAGAUCUAGGUAUUGCCAUCUUUGGUAGGCAAUCCAUAAGUGGCUCUCAUGAUAGAUUCAUAUGGUAAUUUUAUUUUCUUCCUAGGGAAGUGUUCCAUGCCUUUAUUUAAUGGAAAUUGGAAUCUAAUAUUCCCUUCCUUCAUAUCAAUAAUUGCACCAAUCGUUCUAAGGAAAGGUCUACCAAGAAUAAUAGGACAUGAAGGAUUGCAAUCUAUAUCAAGAACGAUAAAAAUCUACGGGCACAUAAUUCCUAUUUGCAACAAUAAGAACAUCAUUAAUUCUUCCCAUAGGUUUCUUAAUAGUGAAAUCCGCAAGGUGCAAGUUUAGAGAGCAAUCAUCAAAAUCACGGAAAUCUAGCAAAUCGCACAAAGUUUUGGGAAUAGUGGAAACACUAGCACCCAAAUCACAUAAAGCAUAGAACUCAUGAUCCUUAAUCUUAAUUUUAAUAGUAGGUUCCCACUCAUCAUAAAGUUUUCUAGGAAUAGAAACUUCCAACUCAAGCUUCUCUUCAUAAGAUUGCAUCAAGGCAUCAACGAUAUGUUUAGUAAACGCUUUAUUUGGACUAUAAGCAUGAGGAGAAUUUAGCACGGAUUGCAACAAGGAAAUACAAUCUAUCAAAGAGCAAUUUGCAUAAUUAAAUUCCUUGAAAUCCAAAAUAGUGGGUGUAGCAACAUCUAGGGUUUUGAUCUCUUCUAUCCCACUUUUAUCAAUUUUAGCAUCAAGAUCUAAAAACUCCAAAUUUUUGGAACGCCUUCUAGGUAAAGGUGGAUCAUAUUCAGUCUCAUCAUUAUCAAGAUUCAUAUUGCAAAACAAAGGUUUAAUAGGAGACACAUCAAUAACUUUUAGAUCUUCAUCUUUAUUUUCAUAGAAAUCCGGUUUAGCGGCCAUCUUAUUAACUAAGGUAGCCUGCUUAUCCGAUAUUUCAGCAGUCAACUUCUCAAGGCGAGCAAUUUGGGAUCUUAAACCAUCAAAUUCUUUAGACAUAUCAUCUAGCUCUUUAUUCAUAUAACUCAUAAAACUUUUUUGUUCCUUAAGCUCGUUUCUGAAGAAAUUAUUAUGCUCAAAUUGCAAAACCAUAAAACUCCUGACGUUGCUUUCGAUCUCUUCUAACCUUUUAAGGUGAAGAUCACCAAAUCUAGGUAGAGCCAUCACGACAAACAAGCAAUCCAACACACGAGCAAACAAGAGACGGGCAAAAAGAGGCAAACGGAAAAGAGAGAGCGAAUAAAACGGCAAGGGUGAAGUGGGGGAGAGGAAAACAAGAGGCAAAUGGCAAAUAAUGUAAUGCGGGAGAUAAGGGAUUGUGAUGGGUACUUGGUAUGUUGACUUUUGUGUAGACUCCCCGGCAACGGCGCCAGAAAUCCUUCUUGCUACCUCUUGAGCACUGCGUUGGUUUUCCCUUGAAGAGGAAAGGGUGAUGCAGCAAAGUAGCGUAAGUAUUUCCCUCAGUUUUUGAGAACCAAGGUAUCAAUCCAGUAGGAGGCAACGCGCAAGUCCCUCGCACCUACACAAAACAAAUAAAUCCUCGCAACCAACGCGAUAAGGGGUUGUCAAUCCCUUCACGGUCACUUACGAGAGUGAGAUCUGAUAGAUAUGAUAGGAUAAUAUUUUUGGUAUUUUUGUGAUAAAGAUGCAAAGUAAAAUAAAAGCAAAGUAAAAAGCAAAGGAAAUAACUAAGUAUUGGAAUAUUAAUAUGAUGAAGAUAGACCUGGGGGCCAUAGGUUUCACUAGUGUCUUCUCUCAAGAGCAUAAGUAUUUUACGGUGGGUGAACGAAUUAGUGUUGAGCAAUUGAUAGAAUUGAGCAUAGUUAUGAUAAUAUCUAGGUAUGAUCAUGUAUAUAGGCAUCACGUCCGAGACAAGUAGACCGACUCCUACCUGCAUCUACUACUAUUACUCCACUCAGCGACCGCUAUCCAGCAUGCAUCUAGAGUAUUAAGUUCAUGAAAAUAGAGUAACGCCUUAAGCAAGAUGACAUGAUGUAGAGGGAUAAAUUCAUGCAAUAUGAUAAAAAAACAUCUUGUUAUCCUCGAUGGCAACAAUACAAUACGUGCCUUGCUGCCCCUACUGUCACUGGGAAAGGACACCGCAAGAUUGAACCCAAAGCUAAGCACUUCUCCCAUUGCAAGAAAGAUCAAUCUAGUAGGCCAAACCAAACUGAUAAUUCGAAGAGACUUGCAAAGAUAACCAAUCAUACAUAAAACAAUUCAGAGAAGAUUCAAAUAUUGUUCAUAGAUAAACCUGACCAUAAACCCACAAUUCAUUGGUCUCAAUAAACACACCGCAAAAGAAGAUUACAUCGAAUAGAUCUUCACGAGAGAGGGGGAGAACAUUGUAUUGAGAUCCAAAAAGAGAGAAGAAGCCAUCUAGCUACUAACUAUGGACCCGAAGGUCUGAAGUAAACUACUCACACUUCAUCGGAGAGGCUAUGGUGUUGAUGUAGAAGCCCUCCGUGAUGUAUGCCCCCUCCGGCGGAGCUCUGGAACAGGCCCCAAGAUGGGAUCUCGUGGGUACAGAAGGUUGCGGCGGUGGAAUUAGGUUUUUGGCUCCGUGUCUGAUUGUUUGGGGGUACGUAGGUAUAUAUAGGAGGAAGGAGUACGUCGGUGGAGCAACAGGGGGCCCACGAGGGUGGAGGGCGCGCCCUGGGGGCUAGGCGCGCCCCCUACCUCGUGGCCUCCUCCUUUGUUUCUUGACGUAGGGUCCAAGUAUCCUGGAUCAUAUUCUUCCUAAAAAUCACGUUUCCGAAGGUUUCAUUCCGUUUGGACUCCGUUUGAUACUCCUUUUUUGCGGAACUCUGAAAUAGGCAAAAAACAACAAUUCUGGGCUGGGCCUCCGGUUAAUAGGUUAGUCCCAAAAAUAAUAUAAAAGUGAAUAAUAAAGCCCAAUAAUGUCUAAAACAGUAGAUAAUAUAGCAUGGAGCAAUCAAAAAUUAUAGAUACGUUGGAGACGUAUCACAUUCCGUUUGGACUCCGUUUGAUAUUCUUUUUCUGCGAAACUCUGAAAUAGGCAAAAAAAACAACAAUUCUAGGCUGGGCCUCCGGUUAAUAGGUUAGUCCCAAAAAUAAUAUAAAAGUGUAUAAUAAAGCCCAAUAAUGUCCAAAACAGAAUAUAAUAUAGCAUGGAACAAUAAAAAAUUAUAGAUACGUUGGAGACGUAUCAGCGCAGACUCGCGAAGGUCUCCUCCAGGUCCUGAAUCAAAGUUCUUGCCUCCUGAGAUUUCACCACAAUGUCGUCGACGUAAGACUCAGCGUUUCUCCCGAGCUGCUGCCCCAAGGCGAUGUGCAUCAACCGCUGAAAGGUUGCCCCUGCAUUGCGUAGUUCGAAUGGCAUGCAAGUGUAGCAGUAUACCCCGCACGGGGUCAAGAAGGCCGUCUUCUCCACAUCUUCUACCGCCAUCUUGAUCUGGUGGUAGCCUGAGAAUGCAUCUAGGAAACAUAGCAGGUCGCACUCGGUGGUGGAGUCGACAAUCUGGUCGAUGCGCGGCAACGGGAAUGGGUCUUGAGGGUAGGCCUUGUUGAGGUUGGUGAAAUCGACGCACAUGCGCUCCUUUCCUCCUUUCUUCGGCACGACGACGGGGUUCGCGAGCCAUUCUGGGUACCGGACCUCGCGAAUGAUGCCUGCAGCCUCCAGCUUGCGAGUUUCUUGGACGAUGAACGACUGCUUCUCUGUGGACUGUCGCCGCGCCCUCUGCUUCAUAGGGCGCACAUUGGGGCAUACCUUCAGAUGAUGCUGAAUCACCUCUCUUGGGACCCCAACUAGCUGCUUGGGCUCCCAGGCGAACACUUCCUUGUUCGCCCGGAGGAAGUCCACCAACUCCCUUUCUUGAUCUGGGGCGAGGUCGGCGCCUGUGGUGAAGGUGGCGCCCGAGGCCCCGUGCUCGUCGACCUGUAUUUGCUUCGUCUUGGCCUGGCCUUGAGUGAAUUGCUGUUUCUUCUUGGUUGGUGCAGCCCCCUUGGCCCGGGGCGCGGCCUUGUCGGCCGGGCAAGCUGCCGUUGUGGCCCUGAAAGCGAGUUUGAGGGUAGCCAAGGCUUCCUUGGUGUCCCCUGCCAUCGUGAGGACGCCCUUGCUUCCAGGCAUCUUCAUGAGGUUGUAGGCGGGGUGAGUAGCUGCCAUAAACUGGGCCAGCACCGGGUACCCGAGGAUGGCGUUGUACGGUAAGUCGAUGCGGGCGAUGUCGAAGUCGAUUAGCUCGGUGCGGUAGUUGUCGCGGGUACCGAAGGUCACGGGGAGACAGAUCUGCCCCAAGGGGUUGGAGGAGCCGCCGCCGACCCCGGAGAAGGGCUUGCUGGGGCGGAGCCGCUCAAGCGGUACGUGGAGGAGGCUAAAAUCCUCCAUAGAGAGCACGUUGAGGCCGGCGCCGCCGUUGAUGAGAGUCUUGGUAAUGGCUACGCUGCAGAUGGUGGGCGUGCAAAGCAUCGGGAGCACGCCCGAGCCGAUGGUGGUGACUGGGUGGUCCCCCGAGUCGAAGGUCAGGUCAUCCUUGGGCGCUACCCAACCCGGGGGAGCCCCCUGCCGCGUGGAGGCAGCACCGAUCUGGCGAAAGAACGGCUUGGCAUGACGGUCCGAGGGCGGCGCCUGCGAGCCACCGAGGAGAGCCGCGAUGACGGGUGGUGCGGGUCCCCCGAAGCGUGCGAUGAAGAGGUCGCGCAGCUCCCCCCAGGAGGCCACAGAAGAUCCCGGCAGAUGGAGGAGCCAGGCGCGCGGCACACCAGCGAGGGCCAUGGGGAGCCAGUUGGCCAUGACCUUCUCGUUGCCCCCGGCCUCCAGGACGGCCUCCUCGUACGUCAGCAGGAAAGCCGACGGGUCUGCCGCGCCGUCGUAGCGCGGUGGCAUCUCCGGCUUGAACUUGGGCAGCCACUGUACCUGCCGUAAGGCGGGGGCCAAGGCUCGGAGCCCCCCGGCCCCGCCACGGGCACUAGUCGUCGCAGCCGGAAAAGCAGCGCCGGCCAUGGGGGUGAAGCGAGGUGGUGGAGGAGCGUGGAUCGACGGAAGGAAGAUUUCGGCGCACCCCUACCUGGCGCGCCAAAUGUCGGAUCUCGGGUUCCGGCAAAACCCUUGAGGUUUGAACACUGGGUGGCGCACGAAGAUCUCACCUCCCUCUAGCUCGCUCGCAACUAGAUCUCACGUCCUAGCUCGACGAACCCAAAGAACAAAGAGACACAAGGUUUAUACUGGUUCGGGCCAUCGUUGUGGUGUAAUACCCUACUCCAGUGUGGUGUGGUGGAUUGCCUCUUGGGCUGAGGAUGAACAGUUACAAGGGAAGAACAGCCUCGCGAGGAGAGGUGUUCUUGUGCUCGGUGAGCUUGGGUGGUGGUUGGUGAGCUGAGUGAUCCCCCCUGCUACGGGGUGGCUAGUCCUAUUUAUAGAGGCCCCGGUCCUCUUCCCAAAUAUUGAGCGGGAAGGGAUCCCACAAUGGCCAAGUUUGAAGGGGUACAGCGAGUACAAGCUAUCCUGACUAAAGGUGGUCUUUGCCUGCCAAAGGCUCUGGUGAUGACGCCGCCUUGGGCUCCACGGUGACCUCCAUCUUGCCGUCCUUCUGGUCUUGGUCUCGUUGCACCGAUAUGGAAACCUUUGCCUGAUUCCUCGGGACUCCUCGCCCGCGCUUGCCUCUUUAGCACCAAAGAGGAAACGAGGACACUAUGCACGCUGGCGCCCGCCUGGCCUUGGUCGUCAUGGCUUAUGUCACGGGAACCUCACGAGGUUCCCCUUGCCUUUAUCUCUCCGCCCCUCACGAGCCUAGCCUGGUGAGGUUGCCCCCGAGGAGGUCUUGCGUUGUCUGCCUCGCGAGGGUUUUGAGUGUUUGCUGGUGAAGAUGGGCCAUACAGGGCCGCUGGUGGAGCCACGCCGUGGGUCGCAGGCAGGCAAGUCUGGGGACCCCCGUUCCCAGAACGCCGACAAUGUACUCCGCUUCACACGUAGAUCCCGGCACGACGCUUUGCUUAGAACUGCACCAACUGAAAGCUCCCCCGUUCAAUAUAAACACGUAUCCGGUUUGUGACUUAGAGUCAUCUGGAUCAGUGUCAAAGCUUGCAUCGACGUAACCAUUUACGACGAGCUCUUUAUCACCUCCAUAAACGAGAAACAUAUCCUUAGUCCUUUUCAGGUAUUUCAGGAUGUUCUUGACCGCUGUCCAGUGAUCCACUCCUGGAUUACUUUGUACCUCCCUGCUAAACUUACAGAAAGGCACACAUCAGGUCUGGUACACAACAUUGCAUACAUGAUAGAGCCUAUGGCUGAAGCAUAGGGAACAUCUUUCAUUUUCUCUCUAUCUUCUGCAGUGGUCGGGCAUUGAGUCUGACUCAACUUCACACCUUGUAACACAGGCAAGAACCCUUUCUUUGCUUGAUCCAUUUUGAACUUCUUCAAAACUUUUUCAAGGUAUGUGCUCUCUGAGAGUCCAAUUAAGCGUCUUGAUCUAUCUCUAUAGAUCUUAAUGCCCAAUAUAUAAGCAGCUUCACCGAGGUCUUUCAUUGAAAAACUCUUAUUCAAGUAUCCUUUUAUGCUAUCCAGAAUUUCUAUAUCAUUUCUAAUCAACAAUAUGUCAUCCACAUAUAAUAUUAGAAAUGCUACAGAGCUCCCACUCACUUUCUUGUAAAUACAGGCUUCUCCAAAAGUCUGUAUAAAACCAUAUGCUUUGAUCACACUAUCAAAACAUUUAUUCCAACUCCGAGAUGCUUGCACCAGUCCAUAAAUGGAUCGCUGGAGCUUGCACACUUUGUCAGCACCCUUUGGAUUGAUAAAACCUUUAGGUUGCAUCAUAUAAAACUCUUCUUCCAGAAAUUCAUUCAGGAAUGCAGUCUUUACAUCCAUUUGCCAAAUUUCAUAAUCGUAAAAUGCAGCAAUUGCUAACAUGAUUCGGACGGACUUAAGCAUCGCUACGGGUGAGAAGGUCUCAUCGUAGUCAACUCCUUGAACUUGUCGAAAACCUUUUGCAACAAGUCGAGCUUUGUAGACAGUAACAUUACCGUCAGCGUCAGUCUUCUUCGGAUGCCACUGUUGGGGAAUGUAGUAAUUUAAAAAAAUUCAUACGAUCACGCAAGAUCUAUCUAGGAGAAGCAUAGCAACGAGCAGGGAGAGUGUGUCCACGUACCCUCGUAGACCGAAAGCGGAAGCGUUUAGUAAUGCGGUUGAUGGAGUCGAACGUCUUCGCGAUCCAACCGAUCCAAGCACCAAACGUACGGCACCUCCGCGUUCAGCACACGUUCAGCUCGAUGACGUCCCUUGAGCUCUUGAUCCAGUUGAGGACGAGGGAGAGUUCCGUCAGCACGACGGCGUGGUGAUGGCGAUGAUGAUGUUACCGACGCAGGGCUUUGCCUAAGCACUACGACGAUAUGACCGAGGUGUGUAACUGUGGAGGAGGGCACCGCACACGACUAAGAGAAACUUUGGUGUCCUUUGGGGUGGCCCCCUCCCACGUAUAUAAAGUAGGGGGAAGAGGAGGCCGGCCCUAGAGGGGGCGCGCCAAGGGGGGAGUCCUACUUGGACUCUCGGUCCAAGUAGGAUUCUCCCCCCCCUUUCCGAUUCCAGCUAGGAGAAGGAGGGAAGGGAGAAGAGGGGAGAAGGNNNNNNNNNNNNNNNNNNNNNNNNNNNNNNNNNNNNNNNNNNNNNNNNNNNNNNNNNNNNNNNNNNNNNNNNNNNNNNNNNNNNNNNNNNNNNNNNNNNNNNNNNNNNNNNNNNNNNNNNNNNNNNNNNNNNNNNNNNNNNNNNNNNNNNNNNNNNNNNNNNNNNNNNNNNNNNNNNNNNNNNNNNNNNNNNNNNNNNNNNNNNNNGCCUCCUCCUCUCUCCACUAGGGCCUACGAAGGCCCAUUAACUCCCCGGGGGGUUCCAGUAGUCCGGAAAAAUGCCCGAACAUCCCGGAACCAUUCCGAUGUCCAAAUGCAACCUUCCAAUAUAUAAAUAUUUAUGUCUCGACCAUUUAGAGACUCCUCGUCAUGUCUGUGAUCUCAUCCGGGACUCCGAACAAACUUCGGUUCAUCGAAUCACAUACCUCAUAAUACAAAUCGUCAUCGAACGUUAAGCGUGCGGACCCUGCGGGUUCGAGAACUAUGUAGACAUGACCGAGACACAUCUCUGGUCAAUAACCAAUAGCAGAACCUGGAUGCACAUAUUGACUCCUAUAUAUUCUAUGAAGUGUUGGGGCACGUAGUAAUUUCAAAAAAAUUCCUACGCACACGCAAGAUCAUGGUGAUGCAUAGCAACGAGAGGGGAGAGUGUUGUCCACGUACGCUCGUAGACCGAAAGCGGAAGCAUUAUGACAACGUGGUUGAUGUAGUCGUACGUCUUCACGAUCGACUGAUCCUAGUACCGAACGUACGACACCUCCGCGAUCUGCACACAUUCGGCUCAGUGACGUCCCACAAACUCACGAUCCAGUAGAGCUUCGAGGGAGAGCUUCGUCAGCACGACAGCGUGAUGACGGUGAUGAUGAAGUUACCAGCGCAGGGCUUUGCCUAAGCACUACGACGAUAUGACCGAGGUGGAUUAUGGUAGAGGGUGGCACCGCACACGACUAAGAGAUCAAUGAUCUACUUGUGUGUCCUAGGGUGCCCCCUACCCCUGUAUAUAAAGGAGCAAGGGGGGAGGCCGGCCGGCCUUGGGGCGCACCAAGGAGAGGGGGGAGUCCUCCUCCUAGUGGGAGUAGGACUCCCCUUUCCUAGUCCAACUUGGAAGGAGCAAGGGGAAAGGAAGGAGAGGGAGAGAGGGAGGAAAGAGGGGGCGCCGCCCCCCUCCUUGUCCAAUACGGACUCCCAACGGGGGGGGGGGGGCAGCCCUAGGCCCUCUCCUCUCUCUCCUACAAGGCCCAUGUUGGCCCAUUAUAUCCCCCAUGGGUUCCGAUAACCCCCGGCACUCCGAUAAAUAUCCGGUGACCCCCGGAACUCAUCCGGUGUCCGAAUAUAGUCGUCCAAUAUAUCAAUAUUUAUGUCUCGACCAUUUCGAGACUCCUCGUCAUGUCCGUGAUCACAUUCGGGACUCCGAACUAUCUUCGGUACGUCAAAACACAUAAACUCAUAAUACCGAUCGUCACCGAAUGUUAAGCUUGCGGACCCUACGGGUUCAAGAACUAUGUAGACAUGACCGAGACUCAUCUCCGGUCACUAACCAAUAGCGGAACCUGGAUGCUCAUAUUGGUUCCUACAUAUUGUACGAAGAUCUUUAUCGGUCAAACCACAUAACAACAUACGUUGUUCCCUUUGUCAUCGGUAUGUUACUUGCCCGAGAUUCGAUCGUCGGUAUCUCAAUACCUAGUUCAAUCUCGUUACUGGCAAGUCUCUUUACUCGUUCCGUAAUGCAUCAUCCCGCAACUAACACAUUAAUUACGUUGCUUGCAAGGCUUAUAAUGAUGUGCAUUACCGAGAGGGCCCAGAGAUACCUCUCCGACAAUCGGAGUGACAAAUCCUAAUCUUGAUCUACGCCAACUCAACAAGUACCAUCGGAGACACCUAUAGAGCACCUUUAUAACCACCCAGUUAUGUUGUGACGUUUGGUAGCACACAAAGUGUUCCUCUGGCAUUCGGGAGUUGCAUAAUAUCAUAGUCAUAGGAACAUGUAUAAGUCAUGAAGAAAGCAAUAGCAAUAUACUAAACGAUCAAAUGCUAAGCUAACGGAAUGGGUCAAGUCAAUCACAUCAUCCUCUAAUGAUGUGAUCCCGUUAAUCAAAUGACAACUCAUGUCUAUGGCUAGGAAACAUAACCAUCUUUGAUUCAACGAGCUAGUCAAGUAGAGGCAUACUAGUGACACUCUGUUUGUCUAUGUAUUCACACAUGUACUAAGUUUCCGGUUAAUACAAUUCUAGCAUGAAUAAUAAACAUUUAUCAUGAUAUAAGGAAAUAUAAAUAACAACUUUAUUAUUGCCUCUAGGGCAUAUUUCCUUCAGUCUCCUACUUGCACUAGAGUCAAUAAUCUAGAUUACACAAUAAUGAUUCUAACACCCAUGGAGUCUUGGUGCUGAUCAUGUUUUGCCCGUGAGAGAGGCUUAGUCAACGGGUCUGCAACAGUCAGAUCCGUAUGUAUCUUGCAAAUCUCUAUGUCUCCCUCCUUGACUUGAUCGCGGAUGGAAUUGAAGCGUCUCUUGAUGUGCUUGGUUUUCUUGUGAAAUCUGGAUUCCUUUGCCAAGGCAAUUGCACCAGUAUUGUCACAAAAGAUUUUCAUUGGACCCGAUGCACUAGGUAUGACACCUAGAUCGGAUAUGAACUCCUUCAUCCAGACUCCGUCAUUUGCUGCUUCCGAAGCAGCUAUGUACUCCGCUUCACACGUAGAUCCCACCACGACGCCUUGCUUAGAACUGCACCAACUAACAGCUCCACCGUUCAAUAUAAACACAUAUCCGGUUUGUGAGUUAGAGUCAUCUGGAUCAGUGUCAAAGCUUGCAUCGACGUAACCAUUUACGACGAGCUCUUUGUCACCUCCAUAAAUGAGAAACAUAUCCUUAGUCCUUUUCAGGUAUUUCAGGAUGUUCUUGACCGCAUUCCAGUGAUCCACUCCUGGAUUACUUUGGCACCUCCCUGCUAAACUUAUAGCAAUGUACACAUCAGGUCUAGUACACAACAUUGCAUACAUGAUAGAGCCUAUGGCUGAAGCAUAGGGGACACCUUUCAUUUUCUCUUUAUCUUCUGCAGUGGUCGGGCAUUGAGUCUGACUCAACUUCACACCUUGUAACACAGGCAAGAACCCUUUCUUUGCUUGAUCCAUCUUGAACUUCUUCAAAACUUUGUCAAGGUAUGUGCUCUGUGAAAGUCCAAUUAAGCGUCUUGAUCUAUCUCUAUAGAUCUUAAUUCCCAAUAUAUAAGCAGCUUCACCGAGGUCUUUCAUUGAAAAACUCUUAUUCAAGUAUCCUUUUAUGCUAUCCAGAAAUUCUAUAUCAUUUCUAAUCAACAAUAUGUCAUCCACAUAUAAUAUUAGAAAUGCUACAGAGCUCCCACUCACUUUCUUGUAAAUACAGGCUUCUCCAAAAGUCUGUAUAAAACCAUAUGCUUUGAUCACACUAUCAAAACAUUUAUUCCAACUCCGAGAUGCCUGCACCAGUCCAUAAAUGGAUCGCUGGAGCUUGCACACUUUGCCAGCACCCUUUGGAUCGAUAAAACCUUCAGGUUGCAUCAUAUACAUCCAUUUGCCAAAUUUCAUAAUCGUAAAAUGCAGCAAUUGCUAACAUGAUUCGGACGGACUUAAGCAUCGCUACAGGUGAGAAGGUCUCAUCGUAGUCAACUCCUUGAACUUGCCGAAAACCUUUUGCAACAAGUCGAGCUUUGUAGACAGUAACAUUACCGUCAGCGUCAGUCUUCUUCUUGAAGAUCCAUUUAUUCUCGAUGGCUUGACGAUCAUCGGGGAAGUAAACCAAAGUCCACACUUUGUUCUCAUACAUGGAUCCCAUCUCAGAUUUCAUGGCCUCAAGCCAUUUUGCGGAAUCUGGGCUCAUCAUCACUUCCUCAUUUUUCGUAGGUUCGUCAUGGUCAAGUAACAUGACCUCCAGAACAUGAUUACCGUACCACUCUGGUGCGGAUCUUACUCUGUUUGACCUACGAGGUUCGGUAGUAAGUUGAUCUGAAGUUACAUGAUCAUCAUCAUUAGCUUCCUCACUAAUUGGUGUACGAGUCACAGGAACAGAUUUCUGUGAUGAACUACUUUCCAAUAUGGGAGCAGGUACAGUUACUCAUCAAGUUCUAGUUUCCUCCUAGUCACUUCUUUCGAGAGAAACUCCUUCUCUAGAAAGGAUCCAUUCUUAUCAACGAAUGUCUUGCCUUCGGAUCUGUGAUAGAAGGUGUACCCAACAGUCUUUGGGUAUCCUAUGAAGACACAUUUCUUCGAUUUGGGUUCGAGCUUAUCAGGUUGAAGCUUUUUCACAUAAGCAUCGCAGCCCCAAACUUUAAGAAAUGACUACUUUGGUUUCUUGCCAAACCAUAGUUCAUAAGGUGUCGUCUCAACGGAUUUAGAUGGUGCCCUAUUUAACGCGAAUGCAGCCGUCUCUAAAGCAUAACCCCAAAACGAUAGAGGUAAAUUAGUAAGAGACAUCAUAGAUCGCACCAUAUCCAGUAAAGUACGAUUACGACGUUCGGACACACCAUUACGCUGUGGUGUUCUGGGUGGCGUGAGUUGCGAAACUAUUCCGCAUUGUUUCAAAUGAAGACUAAACUCGUAACUCAAAUAUUCUCCUCCACGAUCAGAUCGUAGAAACUUUAUUUUCUUGUUACGAUGAUUUUCCACUUCACUCUGAAAUUCUUUGAACUUUUCAAAUGUUUCAGACUUAUGCUUCAUCAAGUAGAUAUACCCAUAUCUGCUCAAAUCAUCUGUGAAGGUGAGAAAAUAACGAUACCCGCCGCGAGCUUCAAUAUUCAUUGGACCACAUACAUCAGUAUGUAUGAUUUCCAACAAAUCUGUUGCUCGCUCCAUUGUUCCGGAGAACGGAGUUUUAGUCAUCUUGCCCAUGAGGCAUGGUUCGCAAGUACCAAGUGAUUCAUAAUCAAGUGAUUCCAAAAGUCCAUUAGAAUGGAGUUUCUUCAUGCGCUUUACACCAAUAUGACCUAAAAGGCAGUGCCACAAAUAAGUUGCACUAUCAUUAUCAACUUUGCAUCUUUUGGCUUCAAUAUUAUGAAUAUGUGUAUCACUACUAUCGAGAUUCAAUAAAAAUAGACCACUCUUCAAGGGUGCAUGACCAUAAAAGAUAUUACUCAUAUAAAUAGAACAACCAUUAUUCUCUGAUUUAAAUGAAUAACCGUCUCACAUCAAACAAGAUCCAGAUAUAAUGUUCAUUCUCAACGCUGGCACCAAAUAACAAUUAUUCAGGUCUAAAACUAAUCCCGAAGGUAGAGGUAGCGUGCCGACUGCGAUCACAUCAACUUUGCAACCAUUUCCCACGCGCAUCAUCACCUCGUCCUUAGCCAAUCUUCGCUUAAUCCGUAGUCCCUGUUUCGAGUUGCAAAUAUUAGCAACAGAACCAGUAUCAAAUACCCAGGUGCUACUGCGAGCAUUAGUAAGGUACACAUCAAUAACAUUUAUAUCACAUAUACCUUUGUUCACCUUGCCAUCCUUCUUAUCCGCCAAAUACUUGGGGCAGUUCCGCUUCCGGUGACCAUUCCCUUUGCAGUAGAAGCACUCAUUCUCAGGCUUAGGUCCAGACUUGGGUUUCUUCACUUGAUCAACAACUUGCUUGCCGUUCUUCUUGAAGUUCCCCUUCUUACCUUUACCCUUUUUCUUGAAACUGGUGGUCUUGUUGACCAUCAACACUUGAUGCUCUUUCUUGAUUUCUACCUCUGCAGCCUUUAGCAUCACGAAGAGCUCGGGAAUUGUCUUAUCCAUCCGUUGCAUGUUAUAGUUCAUCACGAAGCUCUUGUAGCUUGGUGGCAGUGAUUGAAGAAUUCUGUCAAUGACACUAUCAUCCGGAAGAUUAACUCCCAGUUGAAUGAAGUGAUUGUUAUACCCAGACAUUUUGAGUAUAUGCUCACUGACAGAACUAUUCUCCUCCAUCUUGCAGUUGUAGAACUUAUUGGAGACUUCAUAUCUCUCAAUCCGGGCAUUUGCUCGAAAUAUUAACUUCAAAUCCUGGAACAUCUCAUAUGCUCCAUGACGUUCAAAACGUCAUUGAAGUCCCGGUUGUAAGCCGUUAAGCAUGGCACACUGAACUAUCGAGUAGUCAUCAGGUUUGCUCUGCCAGACGUUCAUAACAUCUGGCGUUGCUCCUGCAGCGGGUUUGGCACCUAGCGGUGCUUCUAGGACGUAAUUCUUCUGUGCUGCAAUGAGGAUAAUCCUCAAGUUACGGACCCAGUCCGUGUAGUUUCUACCAUCAUCUUUCAACUUAGCUUUCUCUAGGAACGCAUUAAAAUUCAUCGGAACAACAACACGGGCCAUCUAUCUACAACAACAUAGACAUGCAAAAUACUAUCAGGUACUAAGUUCAUGAUAAAUUAAAGUUCAAUUAAUCAAAUUACUUAAGAAAUCCCACUUAGAUAGACAUCCCUCUAAUCAUCUAAGUGAUCACGUGAUCCAUAUCAACUAAACCAUGUCCGAUCAUCACGUGAGAUGGAGUAGUUUUCAAUGGUGAACAUCACUAUGUUGAUCAUAUCCACUAUAUGAUUCACGCUCGACCUUUCGGUCUUAGUGUUCAGAGGCCAUAUCUGCAUAUGCUAGGCUCGUCAAGUUUAACCCGAGUAUUCUGCGUGUGCAAAACUAGCUUGCACCUGUUGUAUGUGAACGUAGAGCUUAUCACACCCGAUCAUCACAUGGUGUCUCGGCACGAUGAACUUUCGCAAUGGUGCAUACUCAGGGAGAACACUUAUACCUUGAAAUUUAGUGAGAGAUCAUCUUAUAAUGCUACCAUCGAUCUAAGAAAAAUAAGAUGCAUAAAGGAUAAACAUCACAUGCAAUCAAUAUACGUGAUAUGAUAUGGCCAUCAUCAUCUUGUGCCUUUGAUCUCCAUCUCCAAAGCACCGUCAUGAUCACCAUCGUCACCGGCGCGACACCUUGAUCUCCAUCAUAGCAUCGUUGUCGUCUCGCCAACUAUUGCUUCUACGACUAUCGCUACCGCUUAGUGAUAAAGUAAAGCAAUUACAUGGCGAUUGCAUUUCAUACAAUAAAGCGACAACCAUAUGGCUCUUGCCAGUUGCCAAUAACUUUGUUACAAAACAUGAUCAUCUCAUACAAUAAAAUUUAGCAUCAUGUCUUGACCAUAUCACAUCACAACAUGCCCUGCAAAAACAAGUUAGACGUCCUCUACUUUGUUGUUGCAAGUUUUACGUGGCUGCUACGGGCUGAGCAAGAACCGUUCUUACCUACGCAUCAAAACCACAACGAUAUUUCAUCAAGUAUGUGCUGUUUUAACCUUCAACAAGGACCGGGCGUAGCCACACUCGUUUCAAUUAAAGUUGGAGAAACUGGCACCCGCCAGCCACCUGUGUGCGAAGCACGUCGGUAGAACCAGUCUCGCGUAAGCGUACGCGUAAUGUCGGUCCGGGCCGCUUCAUCCAAUAAUACCGCUGAAUCAAAGUAUGACAUGCUGGUAAGCAGUAUGACUAGUAUCACCCACAACUCACUUGUGUUCUACUCAUGCAUACAACAUCUACGCAUAAACUUGGCUCGGAUGCCACUGUUGGGGAACGUCGUAAUUUCAAAAAAAUUCCUACGCACACGCAAGAUCAUGGUGAUGCAUAGCAACGAGAGGGGAGAGUGUUGUCCACGUACCCUCAUAGACCGAAAGCGGAAGUGUUAUGACAACGCGGUUGAUGUAGUUGUACGUCUUCACGAUCAACCGAUCCUAGUACCGAACGUACGACACCUCCGCGAUCUGCACACGUUCGGCUCGGUGACGUCCCAUGAACUCAUGAUCCAGUAGAGCUUCGAGGGAGAGCUUCGUCAGCACGACGACGUGAUGACGGUGAUGAUGAAGUUACCGGCGCAGGGCUUCGCCUAAGCACUACGACGAUAUGACCGAGGUGGAUUAUGGUGGAGGGGGCCACCACACACGGCUAAGAGAUCAAUGAUCAACUUGUGUGUUCUAGGGUGCCCCCUGCCCCUGUAUAUAAAGGAGCAAGGGGGGAGGCCGACCGGCCUUGGGGCGCGCCAAGGAGAGGGGGGAGUCCUCCUCCUAGUGGGAGUAGGACUCCCCUUUCCUAGUCCGACUAGGAAGGAGGACGGGGAAAGGAAGGAGAGGGAGAGAGGGAGGAAAGAGGGGGAGCCACCCCCCUCCUUGUCCAAUUCGGACUCCCAAGGGGGGGGGCAGCCCUAGGCCCUCUCCUCUUUCUCCCACAAGGCCCAUGUUGGCCCAUUAUAUCCCCCGGGGGUUCCGAUAACCCCCCGACACUCUGAUAAAUAUCCGGUGACCCCCGGAACUCAUCCGGUGUCCGAAUAUAGUCGUCCAAUGUAUCAAUCUUUAUGUCUCGACCAUUCCGAGACUCCUCGUCAUGUCCGUGAUAACAUCCGGGACUCCGAACUAUCUUCGGUACAUCAAAACACAUAAACUCAUAAUACCAAUCGUCACCGAACGUUAAGUGUGCGGACCCUACGGGUUCGAGAACUAUGUAGACAUGACCGAGACUCAUCUUCGGUCAAUAACCAAUAGCGGAACCUGGAUGCUCAUAUUGGUUCCUACAUAUUCUACGAAUAUCUUUAUCGGUCAAACCGCAUAACAACAUACGUUGUUCCCUUUGUCAUCAGUAUGUUACUUGCCCGAGAUUCGAUCGUCGGUAUCUCAAUACCUAGUUCAACCUCAUUACUGACAAGUCUCUUUACUCGUUCCGUAAUGCAUCAUCCCGCAACUAACUCAUUAGUCACAUUGCUUGCAAGGCUUAUAGUGAUGAGCAUUACCAAGAGGGCCCAGAGAUACCUCUCCGAUACACGGAGUGAAAAAUCCUAAUCUUGAUCUAUGCCAACCCAACAAACACCUUCGGAGACACCUGUAGAGCAUCUUUAUAAUCACCCAAUUAAGUUGUGACAUUUGAUAGCACACAAGUUGUUCCUCCGGUAUUCGGGAGUUGCAUAAUCUCAUAGUCAGAGGAACAUGUAUAAGUCAUGAAGAAAGCAAUAGCAAUAAAACUAAACGAUCAUUAUGCUAAGCUAACGGAAUGGGUCAAGUCAGUCACAUCAUUCUCUAAUGAUGUGAUCCCGUUAAUCAAAUGACAACUCAUGUCUAUGGUUAGGAAACAUAACCAUCUUCGAUUCAACGAGCUAGUCAAGUAGAGGCAUACUAGUGACACUCUGUUUGUCUAUGUAUUCACACAUGUACUAAGUUUCCGGUUAAUACAAUUCUAGCAUGAAUAAUAAACAUUUAUCAUGAUAUAAGGAAAUAUAAAUAACAACUUUAUUAUUGCCUCUAGGGCAUAUUUCCUUCACGAAGAUCUUUAUCGGUCAAACCGCAUAACAACAUACGUUGUUCCCUUUGUCAUCGGUAUGUUACUUGCCGAGAUUCGAUCGUCGGUAUCAUCGUACCUAGUUCAAUCUCGUUACCGGCAAGUCCCUUUACUCGUUCUGUAAUGCAUAAUCCCGUAACUAACUCAUUAGUCACAUUGCUUGCAAGGCUUAUAGUGAUGAGCAUUACCGAGAGGGCCCAGAGAUACCUCUCCAAUACACGGAGUGACAAAUCCUAAUCUUGAUCUAUGCCAACCCAACAAACAACUUCGGAGACACCUGUAGAGCAUCUUUAUAAUCACCCAGUUACGUUGUGAUGUUUGAUAGCACACAAGGUAUUCCUCCGAUAUUCGGGAGUUGCAUAAUCUCAUAGUCAGAGGAACAUGUAUAAGUCAUGAAGAAAGCAAUAGCAAUAAAACUAAAGGACCGUUAUGCUAAGCUAAUGGAGGGCUUGUCCAUCACAUCAUUCUCUAAUGAUGUGAUCCCGUUCAUCAAAUGACAACACAUGUCUAUGGCUAGGAAACUUAACCAUCUUUGAUUAACGAGCUAGUCAAGUAGAGGCUUACUAGGGACACUCUGUUUGUCUAUGUAUUCACACAUGUACUAAGUUUCCGGUUAAUACAAUUCUAGCAUGAAUAAUAAACAUUUAUCAUGAUAUAAGGAAAUAUAAAUAAUAACUUUAUUAUUGCCUCUAGGGCAUAUUUCCUUCACCACCACCACCAUUGGACCCUCCGACUGAUCCCAAGUUGGCCACACCACCAAACGCUGCACCCUAAACCACACGCAGGCACAAAAGCCGUCGUUUGGGUCUCUAAGAUGACGCCUCCAAGGAGGUAGUGCCGACAAGGACACAAGACCGUCAUCCGAUCCGACAAGCCGGAUCUUAGGUUUUCACCCGGAGACCACAAAACAAAGUACUGCAGGUGCUGGAGUUCCACAACGACACCUCCAACGAGGAAAACGAUAUCCACAGACACCAUUGCCGCCGACAUCGACAUAGUCGAUGCAAGGUUCUCUCCCGGAGUUUGAGCACAUCCCUACAACAAGACAGCUACUGACCACCAGCACCAUUGGGCCCCUCCGAGACGAAGAAGCACGACGAACCGUCACAACCAACAGCACCCCGCGGAGACCGCAGACGGCCAAACAUCAGCACUAGGCAUUGGAUCCACCAAUGGCCGUCCGAACGCAGGGCCACCGAACGCAGCGCGAGCCGCCGAACCUAACCGAGCACCAUGCCAGCGAGGAGCAGAGGAGCGCUGCCCGAGGCCAGGAACCACCAUGGUCCCAGGCUGCAGCCAAACAUCAGGAGCGCCAACACGCCCCACGCGCGCCACCGUGCACUUGCCGGAGACCAGAUCCGAAGCUCCGCAGCACCAACCAAAGGCGGGGGAGAUCCAAAACCGGCUGCAGCAGUGCCACCUCGCACCACCAGCAACACCCACCGCCACCAGCGUCCACCACUCCCGCCUCCACCACCCAGCGACACCACCUCCCCAAGCCGGACCACCACGGGCCAGAUCCGCCCGGAUCCAGCCAGGCCAGCGAAGCACCACCUAUGCACCUCAAGCUCCACCAGCGCGAGCACGGGCAGGACGCACGCUGCGAGGGACCCAGAUCCGACCCCCUGCCGGCACAGAGAGGCCCUCGCCGCGAGCUAUACCCCCCGACGCCAGUUGCCACCCCGUCUGGGCCAGCUUGCCGCCCCUGGUCCGCGAGGAAGCCAACACCGAGAGAGCCCCGCCACCACCAUUAACAUGUGGCAACUUUAUUCAUUAACAUGUGGCAACUUACGCAAAAUAGGUUUGGCAUGUUUUUCCGUUCUUCUUCAUUUUUGAAGUUAGAAACACAUCUCCUCAUGCCAAUACAGAUCACCUCAAGACACCCUCCCACAUGGCAAAUUUCCCCCAGCAUGUCGGUCAACCUGUACCCAAUUGAUUUGUCAUGGCAAUUAGUACACACAUUUUCUUCACCAGCAACUGUUGCAAAUAAUAAAAGGCAAGUAAUGCAAAUAAUGCAUGUCAAUUUUUUUUAUUAGCACGUUCGCUCAACUAACAAAACAAACUUUAUGUGAUGGCAAAUAAAUCGAUUAAUGCAUGGGGGAAAAUAUCUAGUGCUACCAAGACUUAGGUGCUACCGUGAUACGGGCUUCUGGGCCGUCGGAUUCUUAGAUUGGAAGGCUCUUACUAACUAUGUAACAUUUGCAAAAAAGCCUUCGAGGAGUCCGAAAAUUGCGCAUAGAUCCAGCAAAUCCAACAGCUAGCAGAUGCCGUCCGAUCUAAGAAUCCGACGGCCCAGAUUCCCGUAUCACGGUAUCAUUUAAGUCUCGGUAGCACCAAAUACUCCCCCUAUUGCAUGGCAACUUUUUUCCCUUAAUUAUCACCACAACCCUUACAUGUUGAAUAUACGCCUAAUACAUAUACGGAUAAUUUUUCUUCUCUUGAGAGGGACUCAACUUGGUCACGGCUCACACUCGCGCGCCUUCAUGCGCUCACGCUCCUCGCGCUGGGCAAGGUACUCGCGCGCACGACGUGAGACGUUGGGUUGAUCCUGUCGACGUGUACGGUCGUACGUGCCAUGGAUGCCUGUGAGCGAACGAACGCGCCAUAUUCACGUCUAUAAAGAAACCAAAGAAUCCAUACAGGAUGCAAAGCAUGCUCGGAAAAUGAAAGCGCAAGAACUAAAAAUAAACGCAGUUAGCAACAACUUAUUAUAGUUGCAGGCCGUCAACUAAGACAUCGGAGAGACAACAGAAACACAAAUACAACAACGACUGGUUUGGCGAGCAUGGCAGCUCAAGCGGGGUGACCGUGCUGGGCAUAUAGAGCUUCGGGUUCCACAAGCCCAAGCACCUCGGUGGCGUCGCAGGUGCAGAGUAUUGUGCGUCCGACGUUCCUGAUCGGAGCCAUGAGAGGUUGAUGUAGAGCAAAUGUCGAACGGAGCGCAUGGAUGUUGGGUGAAGUGGAUGAUGAAGACCGUGGCAAUGGUACCGAGGCCCCAAGGCUGCCCACACACAUCUAACCAGUGUCCGUAGACAAACACCGAGACUAAAAAAAAA
rnacentral:lncRNA from 1 species